rnacentral:lncRNA from 1 species
UUUGUAUUUGAUGAUUCUAGAUGUUUAAGAGAAUGAUGUAAAAGAUGUUUAUUUUCAACGUCAAAGGUUGUAUUUUGGAGAAUGAGAUGUAAAAAGAUAUGAUGAAAAAGAAUGUAAAAGGACUUGAUUAAAGUAAUAUGCAUGUAUAUGAUUUAAAGUUAAUUAUAGUACUUGUAUGUUGAGUAGUUAGAUCUUUCAUUUUGGCUAGCUAUUAUGUUUGCUUCCGCAUGUGCAAAUUUUAUACCCUAUUUGGACUUGUUGUUGAGCCUUGGGCGGACAGGAGAGGUGCUGUCCGUUCGACGUCUAUUCGACGGGUCCGAACCGGCCAAAUAGGACCAAGUUCGAGGUGUGACACAUAUGGAACUCUAGCUAAUCCGAUUUGGUUUGACUAGAUCUAGACCAUUAUAAAUUGGUUGCAUGGUCCGAAUUGGUUUAUCUAGAUGAUUUAUAUAUUAUAUGAGAAGCUUGUAUAAUUGCUAGGUGAAACGUGCAAUCAAAAUAUAUUUGGAUAUUAUAUUCGAUCUUCAAGUAUUUUUUUUUCUUGGAUAAGAUAAAGCACGUGGUAGAUGAGAUAUACCAUCAUAUCAAAUUAUGGAUACAAAAUCUUUCAAGUAGUAAAUAUCAAACUCCUUUCUUAGAAUUAUACUAUAAAAUUCUUAUACCAAAUAAGUUAUUCCGAUAUCCAAACAAGACGCAAACGUACAAAUUGUUAGGCGUAUGCCCUAGAAGCCAACCAGGCCGACACCUGUAUUCUUUUUAGGACAUAAAUUUGUAUUUGACUUUAAAAUCUUAUGAAUAAAUUUGGGUCCUUAAUUCCAUUCAUAUUGUGUAUGUGUCCAUGAAUCGUCCAAGAAAUUAAUAAGAUGAUGACAUAUAUUUUCAAGAGUUGAGAAUUUGAGACAUGUGUCAUUAGUGGUUAAUUCCUAAAUGCUCCCGAUCAAUGGAUCAUCACGGGGAUGGUGAUUGAUCCGGUGAGAUUGGUGCAUAGGUCGCUUCCCUUUUUGGUAGACGGGUUUCGAGUCGACAGUGUGGGACACUAAAGUGAAUAUGCAGGUGGUUGUUAGAGAACAAGGAUACCGAGCGUGACCAACACGAGAAGUUACUUGGAUGUCUACUCACUCGUCAGUGACUUACUCAAUGUUGCAGUAGUGUGACUGGUCCUUUGACCUGCGGUGCCUCCAGUAUUCAUAAUGAGGUUACUGUAGUUUGACUGUACAUACACUUGAUCCCUAGCCAUUUGGGUCCUUGCGGUGCAUGUUGGCUGCAGUAGGUUCAUUGUAGGAAUAGGGUGCGCACUUAGAAGGAAUCUAUCUCCCUUGGUAGAUAGGGGUGUUAGUCCUAUGUGAUUUAUGAGACCGAGUUUAGAAGACCUUGGCCAGUGCAGAGUUAAUAGCGAAAAAUGGUUUCUGAUAUUAGAAACUCGAAUCGAAUAAAUUUAACAUAUGACAGACGAUGGGGUUUGACGAGUUAUUCCAUAACCUCCGUCUAGUCGGGACUCAUGAUAGAAGGAUUGUAUCACACGGUAACUGCACCAAAGGGUUCUGUAUUCCAUUCUACUGGAAUGCCAUUACAUGCUACUAGGCGUCACUGGUGGAUUGUGAGACUCAUGAGAAUUAUCUAGAUGAUCGACAAUUCUUAUUGGGCUGAGUUGGAAUUAUUCCGAUCCACUGAAAGGAGUUUUAGUGAUAUUGUUGAUAAUGAUCAAAAUAUAUCUCACUACCAGAUAGAAUAGAACCUAUGGGGUCACACACAUAAGAGGUUGUGAUUGAUCGGAUAGCUAGAUCACAAUUAUUGAAUCGCCGGAGGACCUAAUUGUCAAUAUGUUGAUACUUGGACUAAUUUGUAAUUAUUACAAAUUAGUGGUAUUAAAGUGUAAAUGUUACAAGAUAGAACUUAAUAAUAGUUAGUCAAUUAUAAGAGGACUUAUGUGCAAAUGUUGCAUUAUUAAUUUGAUAUGAUCAAAUUAAUAUAAAGUUCAAGUCGAAUCAAAUUAGGAUUUAAUCGAUCUAACCAAUUAAGGAAAGGAUAAAUUUAAAUUUAGAUUUGUACUUAUCCUUAAUGGUUAUUAUAUUAUUAAAAAAAGGAUUAUAUUCCUCCAUAUAAUAAUACGGGAGUUUUUAAAAAACCCUACUUGUCAUCUUUCCUCUCUUCUCUCUUCCAUAUUCUAGCAAAAAGACAUCCUUUGUAAGGGAGCUAGCACCCCGGUGAGGAUAUCGAUCAAAUCAAGAAUCUCGUGUGGAUACCUAUAGAGGCCGGACGUGUGUUCGGCUUCAAGAGAACCUGAUUCCACGAUCAUCAAGUUGAGGUGAAAAUCUAUCUGCGAAAAAGGUAAAGAUUCGAUCUUACUUUUCUCCUUUAAUCUUAAAGAAUAUGAGGGAUCCUAAUUGCGUGGUUUUUGAGAUUAGAUCUCGAGAGUUUUCAAAAUCAAGUUUGUUUGAUUUCUUUUUCUGCUGCGUUUUUACCGUACGCAAUUUUCUAACACAAAUUUCUCAAGUAAAUCAUAAAAAUACACCAAACAAGAUUUUCGUGCAUCCAAAUAGGACCGAAGAGUGUAACUUUUUACUCAAAUCGGUUAAAAGUUUAACCCAUGUUUGGUGACUAUACAAUUCGAAUUUAAGGUAAGAUGUUUGGUCAUCAAAACUCGCCCAGGUUGGAAUCGAAAAACUUUGAUUGAGUAGUAAUAUUUGGCUCGAAUUCUGUGUAGACUAGUACCAUACGUAGUGCGCACGCGCUAUUAUUUGAUAUCUUGUUGAACUAUAUAGCACUAUAAUAUGAGAUCAAUCCUACCUAAAUCGUUGUGCGCCCGAUUCGAUCAAUUGUCACUUCUACUAGAAAAUUAUGUUAUAAGGAAAAAAUUCCAUCAAUCGUCAAUAAUUUUAUGAUAAUUUUUCAUUUCAUCUGUCGAAUUUUAACUCUCUUGCUAGAGAUAUUAAAUUUAAUGUUUGUCCAUUGGAUUGCCUUUUUAGGCCCCGUUUGGUAUUGCGGUAGGAAGCCCAAAACUCUUUUUUUUAAGUGCUUGGGCUAAGUAUCCCAUUUGGUAUUCCAAAUAAUAUCCCACUUUAUCCAACCGCUACCGCAAAUAUACCCCUAAAAUGCGGUACGUACGAAGCAUCCCACUCGAUGCUUUCUCCAAAUUGGAGUUUGGGAUUUGUGCGUUCCGCACAAAUAAAAUAAUUGAUAGACCAAAUUACCCCUAAAUUUAAUCAAAAUUUACGAGCUAUUUAAAACCCUUAUUUUUUCCUAAAUAGAUGAGAAACCCUAUUUUCUCUUCCAUUGGAUGUCUUUCUCUAGCCAACUCCCAGUAAUUAGGAGAGGAAAAAUUCUUUGGUUCGUUUUUCGAAAGGUGGAUAUCAUAUUCUCUGCCGUCUUUAAAUUCUUUAGCAUGUUUGUUUUUUUUUUUCAGUUUUUUGAGAGAAACAUGUUUUUUAAAUUGUUAAAUUUCUUCAAAGUUUAUUGUAUUAAAAAGAACUUGUGCCCAAAAUUUUUUCUUUUUUUGUUGACAUUUGAUGGUAUUUUGCCUAAUCAGAUUUGUUAAAUACAAUUAUUUUAGUUUAAUUUUUACCUUUUUGUACUGUAGGCGAUACUUUUGGGGGUAUAUAAUGUCUAAAAGUAAGGAUAUUGAGAGCAUUGAAUCUCGCACAAAAGCAACAUGGGAAAAAAAAUAUUAUUCAUAUAUUUUGUGACCUCUGUUUAAAAGAAAUUGAAGUAGGUAAUCGACCAGGAACUCACUUUAAUAAGAAUGGUUGGAAUAACAUAGUUAACAAUUUUAAAAAAGAAACAAAUAGAUAUUACGAUAGACAUCAGUUAUAGAAUAAGUGGGAUCAACUAAAGAAGGAAUGGAAGCAAUGGAAGCAAUUGUUAAAAAAUGAAACUGGAAUUGGAUGGGAUUCAUGGAGGAGAAUCGUUGAUGCAGCAGAUGAGUGGUGGCGGGAUAAGCUAAAGGUAUAUAUUUCACAUAUAAUACAUAACAUCUGUAUAUUUUAUUAUUCUUCAUAUUUAACAAUCAAGUUGUAUUUAGGUUUAAUAAUAUAUUGUUCAUUAAAACAUGUAGGUUUAUCCAGAAGCUGCCAAAUUUAAGUUACAAGGAAUCGAACUUGAUCUUGAAGAGAAAUUAGACCGGAUGUUUUUGAAUACUGUAGCAAUGGGAGAUGAUGAAUGGGCACCAUCAUCAGGAGUUAUUCCUAAUAAUCAAGUGGAUACAUUGAAGGAUAAGACAAUAUCAGAGGUUGUGGGAGUUGAUGAUUCUGAUGAGGAACCUUACAUGCCAACAGCAUUAGAUGACACAUUAGGUGAUGCAGAAUUUCAUAGUAAUGAGCCAACAAGAAAGCCCAUUAUACUUCGAAGGUCUAAGAGAGUAGUUGAUGCAUCAGCCUCAAAUGUUUCAAGAAAAAAGCAAACAAAGGCAGUGGGAGCUGCUAAACUGUCAACUUAGAUCGAUCGUUUAUGCGAUGUGAUUGAAAGUAGGAACUCAAUGUUGAAAGAAAAAUCAGUAUCGGAAUCUGCAAUCACCGAGGCAAUUCGUCCUUUGGACACCAUUCAAGAGAUUCCUAGAAAUAGCUCACUUUAUUACUUUGCUACUACAUUGCUAAUGAAUAAGGAUAAAAGGGAAAUGUUCAUGGUACUUGAAGCAGACUCAAAAGAGUGGUGGCUCAGGAUGGAAGAAGCGGCGAACAAAAAAUAGGAUAGUUUAUUGCCUUUAGGAUUAUUUAUGAAUAAUUUUUCUCUUUAGCAAUAUCAUUUGAUACUAUUUUGAUGUUUUGUUAGCACAUCAAUAAAUAGCAAAAACAAUGAUGAAUUUUUUGUAUUCGUAUUUUAAUAUACAAAAAUUUUUCAUUAAACUUAUAUUUCAUUUGUGGUCGAUUUGUGUUAUUGUAAUGUAGAAUGCAUAUGAAUAGGUUCUGAGAGUAUAAGGCAUAUUAAUAUGAAUUUGGUUGUAUAGUUAUAAAAGCAUUUUAUAAAUUUCAUGAUGUAGGUAAUGGUCCUAAUGGAUUGUUAUGUUACUCACAGUUCUUCAAAUAAUGAAAAUGAAUACACUGACAAUGAAAGUCAUUGUGAAGCAAUAUUGGAGGACGAUAUUGACUAUGACAACUUCGUAUUUGUACGAAGUUGUUUAAUAUCUAUGUAUUACCAAAAGUACAUAUGCAAAACUCCGUGUAUGACUUCAAAACAAACAGGAGAAGUUUGGGUGCGAGAUGUAUUAUACGGACAUAGGGAUCGAUGCAUGAUAAACUUUAGAAUGCCAAAGGAAGUCUUCGUUAGUCUAUUACAUGAUUUGCUAACCAAAUAUGGUUUGAAAGGAUCAAGAAAUAUUUCGACAAUAGAAAUUCUAGCAAUGUUUUUAUACAUAUUGGGACAUGGAGCAUCAAAGAGAGUUAUACGUGAGCGUUUUCAAAGAUCAGGCGAGACAAUCAGUAGGUGUUUUACGUACAUCCUUUCUUGUGUUUCACGUAUGGCCUGCGACAUAAUUACGCCACUUGAUUCACAAUUCAACAACAUUCCAGAACCAAUAAGAAAAGAUCAAAGAUAUAUGCCUCAUUUCAAGGUAAAGUAGAGCAAUAUUACCAUUUUUUUGUUGAUAAAUUUAUUUUUUUGACUUUGCCUUGAAUAAACAUUGUUGAGAUUUUCAUAUGUAUUUCAUUCUUAAGAAAUGAAUACUUGUAGGAUUGCAUAGGUGCGAUCGAUGGAACUCAAGUGCAAGCUCGUUUACCUCCCAAAAAACAAGUACCUUACAUUGGAAGGUCAGGUAAACCGAUACAAAUGUUAUGGCAGUGUGCGAUUUUAACAUGUGCUUUACAUUUGUGUACGCUGGUUGGGAAGGUACCACACAUGAUACUAGGAUUUUUUUGAGGGCACUAAGAACUCCAGAAUUGAAGUUCCCUCUUCCUCCACUUGGUAUUCAUUUUGAUUAAGUUUACUAUUUUAAAUAAUCCUUUCUUUUUUUUCUAUUAAAAGAAUUAUAAUGUUUUUAAUACAUGCUUAUCAGGAAAGUACUAUCUUGUUGAUGCGGGAUAUCCUCAAAUUAGAGGAUUCUUACGACCGUAUAAGAAUCAAAGAUAUCAUCUUCCAGAUUUUCGUCGAGGUGGGCAACCAUUAGGUUUACAAGAGGUAUUCAAUCGUACGCACUCAUCAUUACGUAGUGUGAGACCCCAGAUAGUCCUAUAUAUGAGAUAUAAUAGGGCUAAACUCUUAACCCGGCUUAAGCAUUUUGGGUGGUGGCAAGGCCCAAGAGGUUAAGAGAGUUAAGCGUGCUAGGACGGGAGUAGUCCUAGGAUGGGUGACCCCCUGGGAAGUCGGGGCGUCACACGUAGUGUGAUCGAGAGAACUUUUGGAAUUUGGAAGAAGAAGUGGAAUAUAUUACGAGAUAUGCCUAGUUAUCCAUUCAACAAGCAAGUACUGAUAGUAGUUGCAACAAUGGCAAUACAUAAUUAUAUACGAAGGCAUUGCUCACGGAAUGAUAAAGAUUUUAAGGAAUAUGAUGAAAAUCCAGAUUAUGUGCCUGAAGUGGAAAGAGAUGAUGAUAGGGACAAUGAUGACGAUGGUGAGGAUUGUAUCUGACGACGGGGUUAAUGAAAUGACCCAAUUGAGGGAUAAUAUUGCAGCUAGUUUAAGGAAUAGAUGAUCAUUCAGCUUUACUAUGUUCUUAAUUUGAAAACGCAUAUUUACAGAUUAAUUAUUUUUAACUUUAUGAAAAACCUCAUUAGUAUGUUGGAUUUGGUAUUUCGAAAGAAAUUUAAUUAGUGCUUGUUUUUUUCUUUAACUUUAAUUUUCGGAGUUCGCUUUCAAUUUGUAUGUCAUGGUGUUCAUGUAAAUCUGCCACUUUUAUGGAUACUAGUUAUAGUGCACGUGCAAUGCAUGUAACAUUUAAUUAAAUUAAAUUUAUAUUUAUAUUUUAAAUUUAAAUAAUUAUUGGUGGUAUAAAUUUAUUUAUCAGUUAAAUUUUUUCUAACAUUAAUUUUUUUUAAUGUGUAUCCAAAUUUUAAAAAUUUGAAGUAAUUCUAAAUUUUAAAUUAAUAAAUUCAGAUUUAAAUUUAUGAAUAAAACUUAAAUUUUGAAAUUAAUUUUGAAUCCAUAAUUUCAAUAUAAAUAAUUAUUAAAGACAUUAAUUUAUUUAUCAUCCCAUCUAUUUUUCAAAAUUGAUAUAUUUUCAAGUUAAUUAAUUAUUUUCAAUUUGAAAUACUGUUUACACACCCAAAAUAUUGAAAUUUUAAUUAAUUUCAAAUUUUAAAUUAAAAUAUUAAUUCACAUUUGAAAUUAUGAACCAAAUUUAAAAUUUAAAGUUGAUUUAAUAAGCUUAUUUAAAUCAUUUUAUUUUUCAAACCUUUUUUUUUAAUUAGCUAAUUGAGAGAUAGUAGAUACAAAAUAUUUUCAAUGUUUGUUGCAUAGAGAUUUUCGUUUUUUUGAUAAGUAUGGAAUAUUAUUUUAUGGGGCGCUUGUGAAAAAUAUUCUACAGCAAAUAUCCUUCAGUUGACAAAAAUUUGGAUAAGUAUAAAUUUCUUUCUAUUCUCGCAAAUGAAAUGCAAUAUUUUUUCCGACUAAAAAAAGGUUUGUCUGUGUCAACAAUUAUUUUAAUAAUUAUCUCAAAUCAAUAUCAAUUUGUGAAUCAUAUUUAUCUACAAAUUUAAAAUUUUAAAUUGUAAAUUUAUAUGUUAUAUUUUAUUGAAAAAAUAUCUCAUAUUUCAAAUAUUAAUAGGUAAAAUUGAGAUAAUUUUUAUAUAUUCACCUUUUAAAAUAUAUGAUUAAAUAUUAUAUAUGCGGAAGGUAUUAUGUGAUUGGAUAUUAUAUAGGGGGUGGAUAUUAUGUGUGAGAAAUAAAAUAUUUAGAAAUGCGAAUAUUAUUUGUUAUAAAAUAUGAUAUUAUGUGAGCAGCGGUUAUUAGAAGAUAUGUCAUGUAUAUAAAAAGUGAAAUUUGAUACGUACUAUUUGAGGGCAAUUUAGGUAAAAAAAGUGACAGAUACUUAAUUCGUCAGUCAUUGGAUUAGGUCUAAUGACUAAGAAUUAAUAUAUUUUAUGAUAAUUUAAAAAUAAAAUAAAAAUUGUAUGACUGUGAUUUAUUCCAUUAAAGUUGAAUGAAUGACAUUAUUAGUAUGUGAUUGAAAUUAUAUUAAUAGGGACCGGCAUUUUUGGAAAGAGAAAAAAAUUCAAAGCUCACGCUUUUAUAAGUAGUAUAGAUAUAGAUAGUUGAGCAUGAUGAGUAAAACAUAUUUUAUUCACAGGAUGAAAGUUGUUCAUAUAUGCUGGUAGUACAUGAGUACCAUGCUUAUGAAAUUAAUAGAUAAAUAUAUAAGAAAGUCGUAUCUAUUCUUUUGAUUUUAUAUUUAUUAAAUUGUCUGAUUUUAGUAAAUUAGAUUAAAAAUUAUAGUAAAUUUAUUAAAAGUUUCAUCAUAUUUAGCAGGUUUAAUUUAUUUAUUUUAGCAAAAAUUAAAAUAUUUAAUGAAUAAAAGUUAAUAGUAAAUUAAAUUAAUUAAAAUAAAAUAAAAUAAAAUUAUAAAAAAUAUUAAUUUUCAAAAGAAAGCAUAGUUGAAGGACCUAUUUUCUAAUGAAAUAUAGUUGAGGGUGUUUAAAUACAUAUUUACCAAACUAAUUUACCGAUAUAACUUUCGAAUCAAAAGUCCUGAUUAGUCAUUUUACAUUAUAACAGUGUUUUGAAUACUAAUUUACCAAACGCAUAGAAUGAAAAAACUAUCACGCUACCAUAGUCAUAUAGUUGUUUUGCCAAACGUCUGCAUACUUUUCCUACAACAGUUUCUAUAUAAAACAAUUUUUUUACAACAACUUUUAGAAAUACUUUUGCCACCGCUACUGCACACCCAAACUAAGCCUUAGACUCCGUUGGUAAUUCUAAACAAUAUUCCAAUAUAAAAUAUAUCCUCUCUUUAAGUUAAGUUAUGAAUAUUUUGUAUACCCACUAAGGAUGACAGCAUCGCCAUGAAAAUAUUACGUGAUGAAGCUAAAAUAAUUUAAAAUGAGGAACCUAUAUAUAUAUAUAUAUAUAUAUAUAGUCCUAGAUGGAUCCUUAGCAAAAGAAUAACCCCUUUCGGUGGCAUGGACCACAAGUGACUUUCCCCAACCCAUAUAAACAGCGUUUUGGUUGGAUUAAUUCAAUGCUGGCCCCACCAGCAUCCAAUGAAUGCACACAAGACUACACACACGAAUUAUGAUUCCGAUCCCCUCAACAGCCCAACCCUAACGGCUGACAAGGAGAAAUUAAUAACCAUUUCCUGACCCGUGUGUAUCUUAUCCAUCUAUUGUACAAAAAUUACUAUGAUCUGACUUUUGAAAAUUAUUAAAAUGUCUAUCAAUAAAUAAUCACGAGUAUUAAAUUCUAUUACUUCGUCAAGAAGUAGUCUUAAAAUCAACAUUAUCAAAAGAAAUUUUAUUCAACUCAAAAGAAACUAGGAUUCAAAUAAAACUUAUGAAUUUUGUUGUAUAGGCCAUUCAAAUAAUAUUAAAUAGAUCGAAUGAUUUGCGAGCUUCAUGUAGCAAUUAAUAUUGUCAUUUCUUUUCUUUCCAAAAUACUAAUUAUAUAUAUAUACAAUUAGAUAUACCUACAGAAGUACAUUACUCUUGUGUUUAAGGUUGUUAGCCUGUAAUGCAGCCUAGCUAGCUAGUACAUGGAUAACGAUUUAUUUAAAAAUAAAAAAAUCAAAAAAUUGCUCUUAAGUUUUUAAAUUUUUGUUGCCAAAAAAGAAAAAGAAAAAAGGAACAUACAGAUAGAAAUUACAAAUAAUCUGAUGCGGGUAAUUUAACGUUAGAGUUUCUUGAAAAGGGCGACUCAAUCAAGAUGAACGAAAUUUGCCCGACCUUGGUAAUUUUUAUAAUUGGUGUGAGAAAUUUAUAGACGGUUAUAACUUUUAGCUCGAGCGUGUGAUUUCAGCGAGCAAUCUCAACUCGAAACAUACUUUUUGAAAUCUACAAAUUGAACGGUAAGGCCGUUUUGGCCGAGUUUGGAACUCAAAUUUAAUUGUUUCGGUCUCCGUUUUAAGUUAUUUUUAGAAAGCUGUACCUUUUUUUCUUUUUUGAGUCUAAUUAUUUGAUUGUUUUUAAUCUGAUUUGGUUUAAAAAUAUAUUAAAAUUUAUUAUGUUUGUUUAUAGUAGAAUUUGGGCAUAUCAACCCUUUAUAUAUAAUUAGUUUUUAGAGUCAAUUAACAAUAUUUUUUAUUUUUGUUGAAAAAUUGAUUUUUCGUGUAUAAGUCUCUCAUCAUUCCGGUGCUUCUUCUCUCUCAACGCGGCUUUGAUCUGCAUGAUUAUCUAUCAUCCACUCCACUCAUAAAAUAUUUUAUGCACAAAUUAAUAUUUAUAAAACUAGCUAGGAGAAAAACUGCAAUGGAGGGGGUAGAUUUUGAAUUUGCGGUCCGUGUCCGUAUUAAUUAUUUAACAUUUGGACUGCGGUGCAUGUGGUGCAGGCAAAUUUUUGCGCUGACAUGAAACACCCACAUGCUCUCUGCCUCCCCCAUGUCGUGCUCGGAGAGGGAAAUGGCUGGAGAAACAGCUGGGCCCCGCAUAGAUUUGCCUCCCCCCUUUCCUUAAAUUGUCCCCGACUUAAAAAGAAGGGAAAUUAAGGAGACAAACACUACACUACUAGUACUAGUACUAGUACUAGAGCCUAAUAAGAGGAGCAUCCAAGGAAAAGGACCCGUGUCGGUGGGGUGUUGGGUCCCCUAAAAGCCCUGCACCCUGUUCCCCCUCUAUAUCUCUUCCCUCACUCUCAUGCCAUGCCAUUUUGCUCGAUCGUCUCGUCUUCUCUCGCUCUCGCGCUCGCGCUAUAAAUAAAUAAAAACCUUCACCGUUUUUCUAUCCAGUCUAGUCCAUUAAUUCGUCAAAUUAAUAAAGCUUGCAUCUCUCACUAUUUUCUUUUGCGACGUCCGAAUGUAAAAAAGGAAGAACACAAAAUAAAAUGGAGCUUGAAUUGGGACUAGCCUUACCCAACAACGAUUUGAUAAACGAAAUCGAUCUCAAUGAUUACACCUCCUCCUCCUCCUCCUCCUCCUCCUCUCACUACGUGGAGAAAGAAGAAGAUGAAGGAGAAGNAAGGCCGAGGAAACGAUGAUAAAGAUGAUGAUAGUGAUCAUCAAAAGGCCUUCGGCAAGUAAGUUAAAUGAUGAAGAGAAACUUUUCGGAAUGAUUUUGCCAAUCUUGUUCUGUUGCUUCCACUGAAUUGAGACGUACGUGGUGUAUAUAUAUAUAUAUGUACUAAUGGGGGCAGAGUGUUGGUGGGGUGGCCGCCGAUCAAAAGGAGCGGCAGCGGGGGCGGCAGCGCAAGGGCAGCGAUUUUUGUGAAAGUUAAGAUGGAAGGGGUGGCCAUCGGGAGGAAGGUGGAUCUCUCCCUUUGCAACUCCUAUGAAGCACUCUUCCGCACGCUUGAACGCAUGUUCCCCAACAGGCCGAAUGGUAUCAUCCUAUAGACCUUAUCUAAAUUAUUAUGGUGCAUCUUGAAAUUAUUAUUCGAAUGCUUAAAAUCUUGAUUUUACCGUAUAUAUAUUCUUAUAAUUUCAGGCUGUUUAGUUUCAGGUUUGUAAAGUUCGGAGAAUGGCGUAUAUUUUAUAUUUGGAAUUAAUGAUAUACUUGUUACUAACUUGUCAGCAAGUUGAGUUAGAGAGGUUUGUUACAAUUAGUAUUUUUUUUUUUUAUCGACGUACUACUAAUGAUUCUCAUUAAUUAAAUAUGAAAAUAAAAAUAUCUCAUAAAUCAUAAUAAUUUAGUAUUCGUGCCACCUAUACGUGAAACUAUAAUAAUUUCAGUACUUCACUAAUAUCUUGUGCAACUAUCUUAUCCAAUUUGAGUUGAAUAAUAAUGAUUUGAAUAUUUUCAAUUGAAAAUAUUUAGGAUUAUUGGAAUAUUUCAAACCGUGAAUCAAUUAAUCAAAUGGCCUUUUGUUUAACUUUAGUAUGUUUUUGUCAAGAGUCAACGGAAGAAAUUGGUUGGGUAUGAUUUGUAAACAUUUACCUUUGUUUUAAAAUUUCUACCAUUUUUCACUCCAAACUUGUUUCCUCUUUGGCGCUCAUACUAAUUGGGAUCAUAAUCUUGACAAUGGGAAUGGCGCAGAUGGUAAAACAGGUAAGCAAACGCCUAAUAAUCGUCAUCACUACGUGGUCACUUAUGAGGAUGGAGAUGGAGACUGGAUGUUGGUGGGUGAUGUGCCGUGGGAGUAAGUUGAUUGUGUCCUUAAUCUUCCCUAACUAUUGACCUCUGAAUCUAUGCAACAUUAUCUCCUCAUUGUAGUCGGUUCUGAUUUAAUUUGUUGCAGAGCUUUCAUCCGGUCGGUUAAGCGUCUCAAGAUACACAACUGAACAAGAAUUUGGGGCUUGUGCCCUUUCUCUAUGACCAUCAUUGUGCUUACUCUAUAGAUGGUUUUUAUUAUAUUUCCUAUGCAGUGUAAUUUAGGGCAGAACCAACAUAUUUCAUCAGCACUCUGCUUGUAAUCGUCAUUAUCGUCAGUGACUACAUUUUAGAUGUAUAAAACUACAGACUCUUGUAGGGUUUAUUUUGCUUGCUCGAUAUGUCAAAUUGACUUUUUAUGUUGGCUGCUUAUUUCUUUCCUCAUUACUGACUGCUUAAGUUGAUUUUUUAUUGAUGCUCGAUGACAGUCAGCAUUGCAAUAAGUUGUUGUUGUGUAAAAGGUAAUGCCUAAAGUUUUUAGCUUUUGCUAUUUUUCUCUUUCGCAGCCCAAAUCAAUUGAGAAAACCAGAGAGCUAGUGAAAGAAACUCAUAUCUCUAUUACCAUGCAGUGGACGUUUGUUUGUUUGCGUGUUUGUUUGUUGGUUUUUUUUUUUUUUUUUUUGGGGGGGGCCGUGCUAUCUUGUGAUUUCCGUCAGUGCUUAGCUUGUGAGUUCCAUCAGUGCCUUUGGAGAGAUUGAUAAAUUAUUCUUUGUCUUAGUACUUUUUCUUGCUUCCCCUCUUUUUUAUUCUUUUCUCAACCCGUAAGUGGAACUCUGUGUUUGCAGACUUUUCCUAGUUAAGGAGUAUUCAGUGCUUGAACAGCUUAGAAGAAUUCAAAGCCUGCUGCAUUUUCCAUUCAAUCUUUUGAGCUUAGAAGAAUUCAAAGCCUGCCGCAUUUUCCAUCAAAUCUUUUGAUUAGUUUUGAGUUAUGCCUGUAGUGCAAUGAACUUCUACAAAUUGUGGAGUUCUAGUGAAAAGAGUCCUAAAAGGGCUAUUCGAAUAGUUCCGACGAGGUUUGAAAAAUAUUCGAGUAUUUUCGGUGCAAACCAGGUGCGAAAACGGAUUCUGAGAUGAUAAAUCUGCCAAGUUGUAGAUUUUAUAUUGAGUAUCAGUACUGGAAUCUAGGUAUCGGUACACAAUACAAAAUGGUGAGGAGUAAGCUCUCAGGUUUUGAGGAAUUGAGAUCUGUGUAGCGGCAAAGAAAUUCCAGGUUCUAUAUUUAUAGUACACUGAACUUUAGCAAAUUGCAAGGUUCUAGUGUAAAAAUAGCGUUUUGAACUAUUCUAGCUGUUUUGGGGAUCAACAGUAGUGCAUCGAUUCCUUACUUAAGCUCGCUAAGUGCGAGAUUGGAAUACUGACAUUAAAAUUUGCAAAUUGCAGGGUUUUGAGUAUUGAGUUCCGGUACCUGAGUGGGGUACCGGUACCCCAGAGGGUUGCCAGAAUGGGUAGCUCUCGAGUUGAGAAGUUGGAUGUUGGGUACCGGUACUAAGUCGGUGAGUAUCGGUACUGGAGUUGAGUACCGGUACUGCAACAGGCAGGUACCGGUACACUAAAAUUUGCAAAUUGCAGGGUUUUGAGUAUUGAGUACCGGUACCUGAGUGGGAUUCCGGUACUCCAAAGGCCAGGGUUGCCAGAAUGGGUAGCUCUCGAGUUGAGAAGUUGAGUGUUGGGUACCGGUACUGAGUCGGUGAGUAUCGGUACUGGAGCUGAGUACCGGUACUGCAUAAGGCGGGUACCGGUACACUGCAUUAAGCCCGAAGACCCCACGCUCGGGUUUUUGCAUAUUUGAGUGCCGGGUACCAGUACUCCAAUACGAGUACCGAUACAUAAUGCGGCAAAUUGAGUUGGUAAGGGGUCUUUUAGUAAUUUGGCUGUUGGGUUUAUCCCCAACAGACCCAGCUGGCUCUUAUUGUGCCAGAGCGUGAAGAAAAACUGGUAGGCUACUCCUUUUUCUCUCUCUAGCUUUCAUUUCUAAUUUCUUUGUGAAUUUGGGGAUUGAUCUUAUUUUAUUCACCUUUUCUUUGGAGGAUUGUUCUUGCACCUUGGUGAAGAUUGCUGUGAAUUUGGAGGUUAGUUUGAGGAUAAACUUCAAAUUCUAGCUCAAGGUUGGGUUUGGCUUGGAGCUUUGAGAGGUUAGCUUUUUAUUUGCCUUUUCGGUAUGUGAUUUUCGUAGAAUUGGAGUUUGAUUUUGGGAUUGUUCUUGGCUGAGCAUUAGAACUUAAUUGGUAAUGGUUAAACUCUCUUCUAGGUUGGACUUAAAGCAUCCCAACCUUAGGUGGAGUGUGGAAUAGAGUUCUUCUCUAUUUCAGGUAUCUUUCUAACUAUUUUUUGGGUUGAAUUAUGAGGAUUUUAUGGGAGGCGUAUUAGAAACUCCUAAUUGAUUUAGAAUUGUUGUUAAGGUGCUAGAAGGCUAGAAGGCAUCUUCGUUCGAGCAACGAAGGGAUCCGAGGAAUAUCCGGUGGGUUUAACCUCACCGAAAUGGGUGAACUCCCCCUAUAUUCUUGUUUUUAUUAUACAAUUGGAAAUCAUGCAUACUCAUAUUAGAUACAUUAUAAGUGAAUUUUGGAUGUUUUAAUUAUGUAUGUCACAUAUGGCUAAGUCAUACCUUUAUGCAGUGGAAAGUGUUGCUUAUUAAUUAUGUGUAGUAUACCUUACAUGACUUGUAGUAUACUUGUGUAGACAAGUGAAAAUGGCAAUUAUAUGAUAACAUGUAGCAUGAACUUAAUAUUGAUGUGUAUGACUUAUUUAAAUGAUUAGAACUUGACAUUGUGACAUAGUCUCCGACCUAUGGGUCGUUAGAGGACAUGCCAUGUUUUAAACAUGACGAUUGAGAGUUUUGUAGUGUGGAUCAUGCUUGCUUGCCAUUGUACCCAUUCGCACAUGCUUGUGAGGGUCGCUUUCCACAAGUCGGCACUCUGGAGUUGGCCUACGUGACAUCAUGCUCACCUGUGCAAGAUUGGGCACCGAAGUGGAUUGCCGUGUGGAGUGUAUACUACCACGGGGCCCAUUAGGCAUGGCAUAAGCCGGACUACACUUGUGUAGGUCCUUAUAAAUUGUGUGAAGUUAACCAAAUGAAUUAAUUCACUGUCAUUACUAGAUAGUGUACAUUGGUGGACAUGACAUUAGCAUGUUUACUCAUAUUAGAGUAGUCUUUAUUUUUGUUAAAUUUUAUGUGCAUUGGAGGCAUGGUAGCAUUAGCAAUUCAUUACUUCUUUAAUAUUCAUAUUGUGUUAUAGUUAUGCAUGCUUAUUAUUUAUGCCUCAGGGACCUAGUGGUGUAAUUCGUUAAUGUCGGCGGCUUACCUACUGGGAACUAUUGACUAAUAGUUCUUAUGCCCAGUUUGUUGUUGUUUUUGUUUACAGAGUCAUUCACAGCGGGAGAGGCUAGGGAUCACGAUAAGGAGGUCGUGUCUAGUUAGGCAUAUCUUGGAGUUCCUACUAGGUGGUUGACGUCGAAUACCGGUCCUAAUAAGCACUAAAAGUCAUGUCGCUUUUUUUUUUUUUUUACUUCUUGAGUCGCUUAAUGCAGCGAGGUUGGUGAUGCCGUUCCUCCAAACGUCGGUCUCGAUUGAGGCCAGCCGACGUCACUAUUUGUUAUAUUUUGUUAGAUUUAUAGUUACCUAAAUUAGAGUUAAAUCCUAAUUUAAUUGGCAUUGGAUAUAAUUUGGCAUAUAUGGAUUAUAAGUCGGAAUCUAAUUCAAUUUUGAAUUAGAUUCGACUUGUGUUUAGAAAUCCAAUUAGAUUAGAGUUCUAAUUAGACUCUAAUUUGAAGCCACAUCCUAUAUAAAUAUGUGGCCAUGUCAAUGAAGCUGGAGAGCAAAUUAAGAGGCCAUUCAUUAAUUAAUUAAGUCUCUUGGAGGGUACGGAUGCUGCGGAGAGAGCCGAGCUUCAUGCUUAAUUUGGUGUUUCGUACAGGUGGCAGCAACAUCAUGAGCCAAGAGCAUAGUUAGUUAAUUCGGAUUCGGCAAAAAUUCGGUACGGAUAUAAUUCGGAUAAAAUUCGUUUUCUAAUUUUUAAAUUUAUUAAAAAAUACGGCUAAAAAACGGAUUUGUCAAUUAUUCAAAUACGUGAUUUAUACAGAUAUUAUACGUUCACCAAUUAAAAAUUCGGAAUAAAAAAUUCAGCUAUUAAAUUAAAUUUAUUUUCUUUUAAGAUUUAUGUUGUUAGCAUAAAUAUUUAUAUUUCUUAAGAAUACAAGAAUAAAGAGCUACAAAAUUAAACUGAUUAAGUAAAAAAAAUAGCAAACUAUAUUAUGUUUUAAAAUAAAUAAAUAAUUAAAUAAAUAAAAGAUUAAGAUAGUCUAUAAAAAAUUAAAUUUUUUUGAUCGAAUGAUAUCUUUAUUUUGGGAGAGGGGGCAAGCGUUGACGGAAUUAUUUUUUUUUUCUUUUUUCCUUUUUCUAUUUCUUGUUUCUGUUUAUGCCUUAAAAUAAACAGGAGGUUUUUUUUUGUUUGGGCGAGCGGCGCUCGAGCACUCGCGCUCGCGAGCGAGCCGCGAGGCCCGCGAUCCGUGCGCGAGCGCUCGUGCUCGCGCUCGCGGGCCGCGAGGCCCACAGCCAGCGGGCGAUCGCUCACGCUCGCGAGCCGCGACGCGGUGUCUUUUUUGGCAAAUUAUUCGGCACGCGGAUUAUUCGCGAAUACGUUUUUGUACCCGAAAAAACACGUUUUUUUUCGAAUUUUUAGAAAAAAUACGUAUAUGGUCGAUUAAUUCGUUUUUUUAAAAAUUCGCGAAUAAUUUACGAAUAAUUUAUAAAUUAACUAACUAAGGCCAAGAGAGAGUUGGAGCUCUAAUUAAUUAAGUGAGCAUAUGAGGAGCCGUAUGCACUAAUUCAGAUCAAGUUGUGGUCCGUACGGGUGGUGAGAGAGAAGCCAAUUUUGGAGUCUCUUAUACGGCUCGUCUUUCGGCGUUUCGGAUCUAAUUAAGUUUUGAGAGAUUUUCUUGUACUCCGUCUUUCGAUAUUAAUAAAUUAUUUGCUCCGUCUUCGCUUGUGGACGUAGGCCGGUGGCCGAACCACGUAAAAAUUAUUGAAUUUUAUUGGGUUUUAUUAGAUUUUUUGUGAUUUAAAACUUGGUAAAGCCUCUUGAGAGCUCAAUAAUUAUUAAUGAGCUGCUUGGGAGCCCAACUAAAAUUUUUAUGUUUGAUGUUUAUUCCUACAUUGAAAGCCAAAAGGGUGUUUGUGCUUUUUAUAUAUUUCUUUAUUCUCAAGCUAGUUGUUUGGAACAAAGUGAGAGUAAUGCUCCUGUUUAAAUACACGCACGCACGGCACGAGCACGAGCCGGGCGACGGCGCGCAGUCCAUACACUCAGUUUAUUUUAUUUUUAUUUUUAUUUUUUUCGGUUUUAUCUUUAUUUUAAUCCUUAUCUUUAUCAUAAUCCUAAUGUUUAUCCGUAUAAUCGUAGGCUUAUCUUGUUCUAUACGGAUUUAACGCGUUAGAGUAAGAUUCUCGCCUUGAUUAUAAAUAUUCGGCGAGGUUGCAUGAGUUGAAGAAGAACCCGAGCAUACUUAAACCCUCUCGUCUUUUCCUGCUUACUCGCUAUUCAUCUUGUCCACCGAUUUUUGCCGAGUUUUUUUUUGCUGGAUCUGAAUCUUGCACCUCCUUGAAAGCGUGCCGACAGGAUGGAAUGUGGUCGUUGUACCGCUAGAACUAAUUGCUGGAAAGCCUCGCAUGUGGAGGGGCAAUUUCGCUUCUAGAAUAAUGCUCUGCACUCCUCGCUUCUAGGACAGGUGAUUCUUACUCAUGGUUCGUCCUCGUUCACGAUCUGUAAGAGAGCGGAACGUUUUGAGUCUAAUAUCCUUAUACCUUGAGAUGGAGUUAUUACAGAAUUAGAAUUAGAAUUAGAUCGGGACUUGUAUAUUAUAUAUUUAUAUAUAACUUGAUGUAAAGAUGUUAAAUCACGUCCAUUCAUCAAGAACAUAUCCAGAUACAUUCUGACCGUUAAAUCUAUCGUAUUUUUAUAAAUCGGUUUGAAUAGAACGACUCUAUCGUUAUAGAUCACUUUGAAUAAAUUAUAUGGGCCACAUCCAACAAUACUCUCACCAAAAGUUUUAAAAAUAGCCCGUAUGGUCACUGAUUUCACACAAUUAAUAAACGCUAUAAUUUUUUCUGAGUAGAUCAACGCAACAAUAAUAUUAUUCACAAAACUUCGUGCACUUAUGCAAACGGCAGUAAGAUGUACGUGCGUCUCGAAAGGUUUGUACAUAUGUAUAACACUUGCUUACUUUAUACUUAAUCAGUCCUGUGAUUCACAUGAACUGAAAAGAAGCACAAAAGGACGAGAGAAAGAAAAAGAAGGCAGAAAAAGAAGGCAGUAUGUUGUGUUGAAUUAAUUUAGGUGGUCUCGAGGGGCUUGGAACCGAGCUGCUCGGCGGCUGGCUUGGAAGCCGGCAUGGACAUGGACCGAAGCAGCCGUGCCGACGAACUCGAACGGUGGAGGCGGCACCGGAAAGAGCCCCUGUGUUUCGUCGGCGAGCACAGGCACCGCCUGGCAUGUGUCGUUUGCGAUGACACCGUCGCCGCCUUUGACUCGGCCGCUAGUUCCUUCUUGCUCCCUUCGCCCGCGGGAGAGCUCAUCGCCGAAGUCUAGUCGAUCUACACGCGCUCUCCCACUUUCUUAUCUCUGUGUAGUGCGUGUGGUCUGCUUUAUCAGUGUGUGCUCUACUUUAUUCGCCACAAAGGAAUUGAAUUAUAUUUGUUAGAAAAAUUAAUUGCAUCAAAAUCGAUCAUCAAUCAGGAUUUAAUUGUAUGGAUGCUCCCUAUGCUAUCCCGUUAAGUCAAGUUGGUCCCUUUUACUUUUUAUUUACGUCAUUUAAUUUCUAAUUGAAAAAUAAACUAUUUUUUAUAAAUGAUCAUUUUUUUAAUAUAAAUGCCUUUUUUUCGUUUAAUCUAUUCUAGCAUGAAGGAGUUGAAACCUAAUUCAUAGCAAAAAUUCAAGAUUUAAUGAGUAAUGCUUCUAUACUUUUUUUUUUCGUUACCGUUCAUUCACUCCCAUUCAACAGUUCAGAUUUAAUUUUCUUAAAAUUGUGACCUGCAAUAGCAGGUCACUUUGGGAGAAUUACCAGUAACUAGGUAUCUAAAAAAAAGAUAUUUUUGUCUUUUAAUACAUGAGCAAUUUAGUCAUUUUAUCUCUACUAUAUUAUCAACAUUUUUAUUCUCUUUUUGUUUCUUUUUUUCUCUCUCUAUCUUUCCUCUCAUAUUUUGACAUUUCAUAUAAGAAAAGUUUCAAAUUAUUUGACAACAAGGACAUAAGAUUAUUUUGUGGAUCAACUAUGAAUUUUGUCUAUACCCAUCUUGAAUCCGACCCGAAUCAUAUAUAAAGUUUAAUAUUAUAUUCGAAUUUAUAUUUUAAAAAUUUAAAUUUAAUAUAAAAUAUUUUGAAAUAUGGUAAAGAGAAAUAAUUGUUUUGUGUUCCGGUCUUCGGGUUUGGGUUUGGGUUUGGUUUUAGGUUUCGAAAAAUUGAUCAGUUUCGGGUUUAGAUAUAAAUUUUUGAAAUUCGUCGAGUUCGGAAAUAGGUUUUACAAUUGUUAGUCGGGUUCGAAUUCAAAUUCCUAAUCAUUUUUUUUUUCUAAACAGUAAUCCUAAAUUAAUAUCUAAAGUAAAACAAUUCUAAAUUUUUUUAAAUAAUGAUACAAAAUUAAUGUCUAAAGUAGAACAAUUCUAAAUUUUUUUAACAUAUUAAAUACAUUUAAUUUAUAAUUUUUUACCUACAUUCAAUUUUUUUUAAAUAAGUGAUACAAAAUUAAUGUCUAAACUAUAGGAAUUUAAAAUUUUCUUAAACAUAUUAAGUAUGUUGAAUUAAAAUAUUUAUCAACAUUACAAAUUUUUUAAAUAGUAAUACAAAAUUCCUCUAACUUAAAUUUCAAUUUUUUAAUUUUAAAUAUUUAAUAUUUAAUAUUUAAAUUCAAUGUAUUUAGAAAUAGAACUAUUUCUAAAAUUCCUAUAAUUUAAAUUAAUGCCUAAAUUUUAGAAACACUAAAAUUUCUAAAGUAAAUGCGUAAAUUAAUGCCUAAUUAAUGCCUAAAUUAGGGUAAUCAAUCAAUUUUCUAAAUUAGUGUAAAUUAAUGCAUAAAUUUAAAAUAUCAAUUAAAAGUUUCUUUAAAUGUUCUAUAGUUUAAUUACCAAAAUAAUCUCGAAUGAUAUAACCCUUUUACCAGCUAAAUGUUAAAAUUAUAUCUUUACUCUCUAUUAAUCAACGGUUAAGACCUAUUUUAUUUUUUUAAUAAUAAAGUACCGAAUCAUUUCUCUUCAUAAUUUUGAAUAACUAAAGUAUUCACUUAUCAAAAUUUAAGGUCACCUUUGAUAUCAUGUUUACUUUUUAUAUUUUAAAAACUAACUCUAUAUAAUUAAUUUGAUGUAGCGAAUUUUUUUUUUUUAUAUUGUUAUAUUUAAUUAGCUUAUAAUGUAUUCAACUAAGGGUCCAUUAAGUGAAGUGAUGGAACUCAACUUCUAUCACUUCCGUUAUUUAAUUUUGUGUAAGUCAAAAAUAUAAUGUAACUCAAGUUAUAUUAGAUCUUCACUUCACCUACUCUCAACUCUCUCUUCUAAAGUGCCGAACUCGACUUCCGCCAUAUUCAACCUCUUCUAAAAAAUUUAUUAAAUAGUAAACAUAAACUCUACUUCCUUUAUAAUUGAUUAGAAUUACCUUAUUUAUAAUAAAUUAGGAUUAUCUUUAAAUAAUAAUAAAAAAUUUAAUUAUAUAAUAGGUUAAAGUUUAUAGCAGUAAAUUUACUGCUAUAUUUAGGAGAUAACAGGAUUCACUUACUUACAUCAAAAUAAACAACGGAACUUAAAAAACUAAUUUUAUCAGCACCAAGUUAUAUCAAAAUAAAUAGAAGAAGUAAUUGAAUUUAACUUUCAGACUGUACGAGUUAUGUCAAAAUAAACAGCAAAAAAAUAAUCACACUUCAGAAAAACUCAAACACCACUGCACUUGACUUACGUUGAAUCUACAGAUUCAUCAAUCCAGACGCCCCCUAAGUGCUAGAUGAUAUUUAAUUUAAAAAAAUAUUGGAAGCAAAAAAAAUUAUUGCCAAAUCUUUAUUUUUUUUGCUAUCAAGUAAAUAAUGCUGGUGAAAUGGUUGCAAAUAUUCACUAUUCAUUUCUAUUUUGUUUAAUAUGCAAAAUUUUAUUAAAAAAUAAAAAUAAACAUAAUACCAAAUGUGACCUUAAAGUGUAUAAGAUUAGAAUGUAUAGGGACCAACUUGUAAAACGGGAACAGUUUGGAGCCUGUCUAUAUUUAUUCACGGUGAACAGUCUUUUUACUGGUUUUGUGAGGACUCGAUUGUUUAGGGAUACUCACUUGCUGAACGUAGGGGUGGAAACAAGCCGAGCUCGAGCGAGCCUAUCUCAGCUUAAGCUUGACUUGAAAUUAAUUUCGAGCCUAAAUUUAGACUCAAUCUAGGCUUGAAAUUAAUUUGAGCCAAGCUCGAGCGAGCCUAACUUCGAGUCGAGCGAGCCUAACUUCGAAUUGAGCGAGCUGGAGCUCCAAACGAGCUGCUUGAAAUUCUUAACAUCGUGCAAUCUAUAGUUUAAUUUUUAUAAAACAUUAUCUAAAAUUCGAUACAAAAAAUGUUUAAUAGCUCAACAUACAAAAUGAAUGCAUGAAAUACAAUAUUAUAAGAUUAAAAAAAUUAGGAAAAGCGAUUCUAUGAGCGAAUGAAAAAGAGAGAGAGAGAGAGAGAGCAAUUAGAGUAUGAUUUUGCUGGUUUGAUUUUGUGAGCCCAAUAAUCUAAAUUCUAUAUACAUAUAACUAAAAUACAUAAUAUAUAUUAUUUUAUGUAAUUAAAAUAUAUAUUAUAUAUAAUUAUAUAUAGAGAGAGUUCAGCUACUAUAGUCCUAUUAGUAUAGACUCAUUUAUACUCAUAAGUUUUCGAUCGUUAGAUCUAUACUUUUGACCAUUUCUAUCUGUUUAUCAUACUAUUCAACCAAUCACCCACUCAAUCCUAGGGGACCACUAUCAUCCUAAUUGCACAUCCAACGGCCAAAAAUUUAUAAGUAUAAAAGGGUCUAUACUCAAAAAAGUAUAAUAGCCCUAGCCUCUAUAUAUAUAGAAUUAGAUAACUAUACUAUUAAUAGUACCAACCGCUUGUUAUUAGGUUUUCGGCCCUUAGAUGAAGAGAUGUGUCAUCAGGAUGAUUGUAGCCCCUUUGGGUUGAGGAGGUUGGUAGUUGAAUAGUAUGAUCUAACGGAUGAAAAUGGCCAAAAAGGUAGAUCUAACGACAGAAAACUCAAUAGCACCAAACGCUUGGUACUAUUGAUAGUAUAAUAGCCGGACUCUAUAUAUAUAGAUAGAUCCAACGGCAGAAAACUCGAUAGCACAAAAUGAUUGGUACUAUAGAUAGUAUAAUAGUCGGACUAUAUACAUAUAGAGAGAGAGUCCGGCUACUAUAUUAUCGAUAGUACCAAAUACUUAGUACUGUCGAAUUUUGUGCCGUUAGAUCUACCUCUUUAACCAUUUUCACCCGAUAGAUCAAACUAUUCAACUAACCACCCACUCAACUAUAGGGAAUCACUAUUAUCCUAACCGCAUAUCCCUUCAUCCAGGGCCGAAAACCUAAUAGCAUCUGGUUAGUACUAUUAAUAGUAUAGUAAACUAUAUAUAUAUAUAUAUAUAUUUCGAGCUUUCGAGCCUAAUUCGAGCAAGCCCGAUAAUACUCAAGCUUGGCUUGAAAUUAAUUCCGAGCCUAAAUUUAUGCUCAAGCUCAACUUGAAAUUAAUUCGAGCCGAGCUCGAGCGAGCCGAAUAUCGAGCCGAACGCAAGCCGAACACGAGCCAGCUCGCUCAUUUGCCAGCCCUAGCUGAACGUGCUUGCGGUUAGAAGGUUCGACAAAUGAACCAAGACUCGUUGGCUCAAAAUUUAUGAUUAAGGUUCCGGCCGUCAUAAGGCUCGUUUGGAUUGAACUGGAAUUACAUAAUGUACAGUAGCAACCAGUUCAAUAAAUAAACCGCACGAAAAGAGUGGGUUAAAAUAUAUUUUCUACAGUCCUAUUAAAAAAUAAAAAAUAUUUUUCUAUUUGUUUGGAGCCCUAUCUUCCUUUUACCUAAUAGCAUUAAAUGACGGGCCAAUUUGGUUCGUAUUAUGUAGCAUUAUCUAUUAUCUCCAGAUAACUAGUGAUCUGAUAUAUCAUUAUUCAGAUUACUUAAUGUUAUUUUACUUCAUUUCGUUCAGUACAAUAAUAUAAUAUCAGGUUACUGUAUGUAUAAGAUUAUUUUAUUUGUUCCAUCAUAUACAUUUCAAUAAUUUAGAUAAUAAAGUUUUCACUAUUUCAAAAAUGCGCUUAUUAUAUCUUAUACGGAUUAGAAAUUUGAAUAUAAAUUUUGAAUUAAAAUUUUCGAUCUAAUUUUCGAUCUAAUUUUCGAUCUAAUUUUUGAUCGUUCAAAUUUAGUUUUUUAAUCUAAAAUUUUACUUUCAAAUUUAAUUUUGAAUAAUUUAAAUUUUAAAUUCAAAUUCAUUCAAGUUCUAAAUUUGAAUUCAAAUUAUGAAUUCAUAUUUUAUUUUGAAUUUAGAAUUUUGAGUUCAAAUUUAAAAUUUAAAUUGAAAUUUGGAAUUAAAAUAUAAAAUUUUAGACCAAAUUUCAAUUUAAAUCAAAAUUUUAAACUUAAAGUUACAAUUCAAUCUCAAAUUUAAAUUUGAAAAUUUAAUUCAAAAUUAAAUAUUUUAAGUAAAUGAGAAACAAAAAUUUAAAUUUAUAUCGGAAAUGGCCGGGGAAGGGUAAUUUUAUAAUUUCACAUAAGUUGCAUGAAAAGCAAUAAUACAAGAUAUUCACUCCCCUCCAUAGUAAUAUUUUGAAAGUUAUCUUGUGCUAUUAGUAACACUGCAUUACCAAUUAAAUUACUUGUAGCAUGAAUCAAAUAUAGUAGUAUAAAAUUAGCCCUAAACCAAGCAGUAGUAUCAAAUUAGCCCUAAACCAAGCAGUAGUAUCAAAUUAGUCCUUGCUAUGAGCCGAAUUUCUCAACCCCUGACCCGGUCAAAGAUUUUCCUAAAGAAGCGUGCAGAGAUUAAAUACAGCUUCAAGUAGUGAUCCUCGAAGUUUGCGCCCUCCAACGGAUCACGUGAUUCGGCUGAUGAGGGAUCGGAUCAGCCAAGUUCGAAAACCUUCACUGUAAACUGAAUUCGGCUGAACGAGCCGAAUGAAUGAGCUCAAUCCCGGCAUCCCUUCAUAAUUUCAGGCGAAGCAAUCUUUAUAUUUUAACAGCAACUCCUUCAGUUUCUCCUGUUGUUGAGCCGAAAGUUUGACGCUAACGUUCGUCGGCCGCUUAUCUUCAUCAGACCCCAAAUUUACUUCUAAAAGUGGGUCUUGGGUCUCUAGCUUCUUAUUGCCGACUUUGAUCGGUGACUCUUCCAUAGAUUCCUUCAUAAUUUUAUGAACUUUUGAGCCGUUUUCAUCAUUAGACUCGGCUGCUUUACGAGUUCUAUCAUUUUUACUCAACUCGGCUGUUAUACUUGAUGAUUCAUGAAAUAUUUCCUUAUCGGUCCCCAUGGCCGAUUCCAUGAGCAAGUUAUAUUCGGCCAACUUGGCUGUUUUGAAACACGAUAUUUCAUCGGCCUAGUCAGCCGACUUACUACAAUAGCCGACCUCUCCAGUCGGCUCAUCUGCCGAAACUUUUUUAAAGCUCCAGUUCAUGACUCUUGGCAUUCCAUUUCAGCCAGCUUAGUGGCUCUUCAGCUGCCACCAUUGCUUCCUCAUCUUUCACAAGUAUUAACUGAAUUCCUUCCUCGGUCACCCAUACAAAGGAGAUUUGAUCUGGGUCAGUGUCGGCCCAACCGAUAUGGCUGAUUCCCUCCGAAUUAAUAUCCACCAUCUGAGGCCGCCCCUCGGCCCUAAUUUCUUCCACUUUAUCUCCAAUCCAUUGAAAUAAUUUUCCGUGAAGCAUCGAAGGCACAUAUUCAUUUGCGUAAAUCCAGUCACGCCCAAACAAUAAGUUGUAGUGUCUAUCUGCAUCCACCACAAAAAAGGUUGUAUGCAAGGUUUUAGAUCCUACCGUGAGCUCGGUUGUGAGCAUACCUUUGGCUUGUUGACUACUACCAGUAAAAUCGGUCAUAAUUGUGUUGGUAGGCUUCAAUUCAUUUUCACUUUUACCCAACUUCUUAAAGAAAGAAGAGAGCAUGACAUUGACCAUUGCUCCUCCGUCUACCAUUACUCAGCCUACUGGCUAUCCUUUUAUCAACGCCCUUAUAAACAAGGGCCUCACAAAUCUUGUCUGCAUGAUUGAUGGUUUUUCAAAAACCACCGAAUCGACUAGCUUAACAUUUUUUAACUAAAGUUGAGCCACCGUGAGCUCCUCUCCAUCAUAUGUUGUUUCUUCGUAUUCGACAGACUCCACCUUGAAUGACUGAGACAAAGUAUACACCAUAUUCACAUCGGCUGGACCUUUAUCAAGCAAUUUUUCUUAUAUCUUUUGUUUCUUUUCUUCUGAUUCCUUUGCCGUCUUGGCUAAGGAAUGACUCUCCAUGCAUGUCUCUCUCUCUCCUUAGGAGGCCAUCUGUCUCGUUUGAUUAUGAUCUCCAAAGAGCCUAUUUUUUCCUCCAACUCCUUCCAAGUUGCUUUCUUUUCCAGCCCAGCCGGGAGUGGCCGUUCUAUUUUGGAUCUCAACCAAAGGACAGAUGUCGAACCACCUGCAUCAUUAUCAUUCUUCAUGGGCCUAAAGGGAAGUUGUUGCUCAUGAGUUCACCUCCACACAUUCAGUUUCAUCCCUUUAGCCUCCUCAUAAUGUUGUCUCGCUUCGGCUUGCAACCUUUGCUGCCGAUGUUUCUGAGUUUUUGUCAAUAUCGGCCCAUGCCAUUUGGCCGAUACUUUUGCUUUGUGCCAUUGAUCGACUAGCACAUUUGACGGUACUUUUACUGUCCUGAGAUGAUCUCUCAGGAUUUCUCUUCUCUCACAUGGCCUCGGCCAAGGCUGAAUGCCAAGUUCAUUGACUAACCUCCGAUCGAGGAACUCGAUGUCGCCCUCAGUCAUUCCUUCGAAUUCAGGUUCAGGUCUCGGCCUAGCUAGAUGUUGCCAGUUUGGCCGAUAUCCUGGGAAUCUUUGUUGAAAGCCGAAUGGUUCGAAGGAUAACUCCAUCUGCUAUUACGCUCUUCCCUUCAGCUGUUAUAGUAAUCUUUUUAGGCCUUUUGUAUUAAUAGUUCUCUCUUGUCUUUCACUGAAUCAAUUUUCUGUUCGGAAUCGUUUGAGGCUUCUUCCAAAUCUUCCUCCAAUUUGUUCUCCGCCUCGGGAAAUGUCUUCCCACUCUUCGAGGAAUGUCAUGAACUCUCUCCAUUCCCUAUACAGUUUCUUCUCAUGAAUAAUCGCUUUCGAAUCUUUUCUUGUCAUUUCGGCCUUACAUCUUAUGCAUAGCCGUAACGUCCUUUUGGUAUAAGCAAUACCAUCAUCCAUCUUCUUGUCCGCAGGAGCCUUCCCCUUGAUAUCUACCAUAUUGACCUGCGAAGGAAAAGGAUUUUUGUCAAUUUUCAUAUUUUUGUUCUCUUAGUCGGCAAAUUUGAGCCGAUCGACCUUCAUUUAUCUCCUUUUGAAUAUGCCUUUUAAAGGCAGUACAAUCAUUUGUUCUAUGGUUCUAUGAAUGGUGUCAUUUACAAUAUCUUCUCCUUUUCAACUCUUAUCCAGAAGGUAUCGUUUGGCCCUCUUAGAGUUGAAUUCGUCCAUUCUUUAACAAGCAAUCAAAAAUUAAAUCAGUUUUUGACACAUCAAAUGAAUAAGUGUAUGCCGCUACUCGUGCUUUUGCUUCACUAGAUUUUGUGGGUUUAAGUAAAGCACAUUUAUAUGGCUGGCGAUUUUUUACUAUCUCAGCAGCAUAUAUUUCGGCUACAUCAGCCAAAUCCUCUAUUUCAUCCGACAUAUUCAGCUCAUCUUGAGCCGAAGAUUCUUCAACAAAGGAAAUAUUUUUCUCCUUCCCCUUAUUCUAAUCUUUGUUUCGGCUCCACCUAAGCCGAUCUUCAUUAUUCUCUUUUCUAAAUUGCUCAUAUUGAGCAACUCGAACUCCCAAAUUGAAUAGAUUUGAAAAAUACUUGUCUUCAAAAUGGUCCUUGAUUUUGAAAUAUAGACCAUUGAAUGCCAUUUUAGCAAAUUCUGACUCUGGCAUUCUCACAAAGCAACAGCUUCUUACCGUUUUGAAUCGAUUCAAAUGUUUUUCAACCGAUUCUCCAGAUCUCUGUCGAAACUAAGCUAGAUCAACCACCGAAAGUUUCGGUUCUGAUCUAUAAAACUGCUCAUGAAAUUUUCUCUCCAGUUCGUCCCAAUCUCGGACGGAAUUGGCUGGCAAACUCGUGUACCAAGUAAAUGCAGUUUUGAUUAAUGAAGUAUUAAAUAAUCUAAGUUUUAGAAAAGAAUUCGCAGCGUUCCGCAUCGAUAUUUGUAGGGUAAGGGGAUCUAAACAGAGGCAGCAUUGUCGGUCUUGCCCCAACUCUGAAUGUAUUCCAAAUAGCUUCCUCUAUUUGAGCAUAAAGCUCAUUGUUAUUCCCUUGUAUGAGGAUAGGAGCUUGCACUUGAACCAGGUUUGGUCCUUGAGGAAAUCCAUGACUCUAUACUACAGGGUUCACUCCCUGCGUAGCAUUAGGGGCUCGUCCCCCAGCUCUAAUCCCCGUAUUUUGGAGCUGAUAUGUCACCAAUGGCGGCGGAGGAGAUAAUCCCUAUGUUAUUUCUGAUUGUUGACCGACAGUUAAAGCAGCCGGUCUAUAAGCCGCUUGAAAAGGUGCCCCCUGAUGCUGAGGCUGAACAUUUACCGGUGUUACAGGAUUUUGUAAUACCGGUGUAGCUACAGGUCCUUGCAAACCCGCUGUAGGUUGCUCAAUUCGGAUUAAUAAUUGCCCAAUUCAGGCAAUAUUCUCAUUAGAGGCUGUAAUUGCGGCCAGUACUGCAUCUAGGCAAGCAGUACUUCGGUGACUAUUUUGGUCCAAAACUUGUAGGACGCAUGUCAUCUGUCCGAGCGCUUGAGCCAAACUUGGCUCUUGCUGGUCUGAUUGACCACUAGCGUCACCUUCGAUUGGCAAGAUCGCUUGGCGCUCUAUUGCAUUAUCUGAGUUAUUGGCUUGGUCGUUCCCAGAAUUUCGAGGAACGACUCUGUUACGCAAAUUCAUGGUAUUAUUAUCAGCCAUUGUUCCCGUAAGGAAAUAAAUUUACCUAAAUGUGUCCCACUGGGCGUGCCAAAAAUUGCUAUGAGCCGAAUUCCUCGGUCAAAGGUUUUCCUAGAGAAACGUACAGGGAUUAAAUACGGCUUCAAGUAGUGACCCUCGAAGUUUGCGCCUCCGACGGAUCAAACAAUUCGGUUGAUGAGGAAUCGGAUCAGCCGAGUUCGAAAACCUUCACUGUAGACUGGGUUUGGCUGAACGAGCCGAAUGAAUGAGAUGCAUAGUGGUUGGGUCGGUUGAAGAACCGAAUACCUUUGUAUAUUGAUAUUAGAUCUGGAAACUUAUACAAAAUAGAAUGUGUCUCUGGGGCAUACAAACUCCGAAAAUCUAACUCUAAGGCUACUCCUAAGAAAAGCAGUAAAUGCGAGAAAGCAAAAGAUUACAAGUAGACUACUCCUAGAAAUGCGAGGAAAAUGCAGAAAGAAUAAAAGGUGGUCUUCUAUUCACAGGAAAAAGACUCCUCCUUUAGGCGUUACUUGCUUAUUUAUAUUCCACUAUUAUUGUUCAGUUAUUACUCACGAUCGGCCACUUCCCUAUUUUUGUGGGCCAUGCCACUACGAGCUGAUCCUUACUACUCAUAACCGUUUGCAAUUACACCCUGCGGUUAUGCUAUUAUUCCUUUAUUACUCCCGGUGCACCAAAAAUUCAUUUAAUCCCGACUUCUGAGAGUCCCGGCUGAACCGUGCUCCAACAUGCCACAUGGCGUUUUAUUAUUGGCCUUAACAACCCUAAACCUAAUUUUCAUGCUGUGUCAAAUUGGAAUCUAAUGAGCCUAACAACUUUGAUAAGUCUUGCACGUAAGCAGUUAACAAUAAAUAACCUUUUACAAGUUUAAAUUUAAAUGUAAUUGAUUAAUAACUGAAAAACCAAAUCUAGUAGCUCUUGAGGAAAUAUUAUAGGCGAGUCAAGAUAGGUGAUUUAUUUAUGGUGAUAUGAAGAUCAGUUUUCAUAAUACAGAGUAACAUGAUAUUAAUAAAUUAAAUAGCAAAUGAAACUCUCCCGAAGGACGCCGAACAAUUUAACCCUAUUUCAUUGAAAAAAAAAAAAGGUUUUAUUUAGUAUUCUUUUUUUUAAAAUUUGUCUACAGACCCUCGAAUCGUAGAAUUCUUCCACCUAAUAUAUCGAAUUUUCUUCUAACAGUGAAAACUGAAGACUCAAGCACCUUUUUGCCAACCAAGAAAUUGAACCAUAACCUUUUAGACUUAAUUUGGAAUUGCAUUUUCAGAAAAUACAUAUUUUUAUGUUUUAAAAAGCUUACAAAUUUUAAAUAGAUAUUUUUUCUCCAUGGCAAUAUCAAAUUAAACCUCAGAGGGCAUAUAUCUUGGGUAGUCUAGUGGCUGUUAGUGCAACUUGACGUCGUCCACUAAUGAUUAAUCGGUCGGCAAGUGAAAACACGAGAAUAUAUAUAUAUAUCUUGUGGAUUUUAUGAUCAUCGAUUCAAUCCAACGCCUUCAGUUUUCACAAGAAAUGCGUGGCAGCACUGCGCCCGGAGGUGAUAAUUUGGGAUGAGAUUGUGAGCAGACUUAUAUAUAUGGUGGAGGGAGAUUCCAAUUUUCAAAGCGAAAAAAAGAAAAGUGCCGCUUUGAUUUAAUUAGAUAGAAUAAACAAAUGAUUGAUUUAUUAUGGCCGAGGUCUUCUAGCCAUGCCAUGCCAGUAGUCGUCAUCUGAUUCCCACCCGCUUUUGUUCUUGCUCAUUCGAUCCCUCACUCUCUCUUUCGGAAUAAACUCUAUUUAUAUUUAUAUAUGCAUGGUUGUGGUUAAGUGCGGGAUUCUUUUCAGACGCCACUCGAUGUAUGCUGGGUGUACGCGCGUCCGCUCCACCGUCUCUGCAAUUAAUUAAAUUAAAAUUAGAUCACCCAUGCAGUCCAUCUCAUCGAUCUCCAAGUAGGGAAGUACAACUUCGGAAUGAGAGAUUUUCCUUCUCCGAGUACCCUUCUUUUGACUGCUAGCUGUACAGAAUUAAUUAAAUUGUAUUAUAUUUGUUGCUAGAAUAUCAUUAAACUAUUGCAAUUAGAGCUUUGGAAAAGACAAUUUAAUUUUACAGCACUAGUUAAUGCCGCUUAACAGCUCAAAAUAAUUUGAUAAUAGUGAUACGAAAUAGGAUUAGUUACACCGUUAAUCACUAAUAAACGUCUAAUGAUAUUUCGCUCUGAUCACUGAACUUUAAUUUAUUUCAAUUAAAUUAUUGCAUUUUAAUUUGUAUUUUAAUGAGAUCAGUUUGUUAAUAUUUCUAUAAACUUUUAAGUAAAUGACAAAGUAGUCGCUAAUAUAGUUAUCACACCAUUUCUAAACUUGAUUUUUAUUACCAAAUUAUCCUUUUAAAUAAACUAACCAUCAAAUCAUAAAUAAUAAUAAAUUAAUCCUUAAAACUAAAGCCGUCCAAAAUACUCGAUAUCCCAUACCCGACCCGGACCUAUCCGGAUCCGAAUCGGACCCAAUAAAAAAUGAAUAGUAUAUAUAUGGGUAAUAAAAAAAAAUUAUCCAUUAAAGUUUCAGGUAUGAGUCCGGAUACUUUAUUCCUAUAUCCGACUUGGACUUGACCCGAACCUGACCUUUUAAUCGGUAGGGUCCGGAAGAGUUUUUAAAUUCGGACCCGGACCCGGACCCAGACCCGGACCGGGUGAAGCAUCCGAUAGUAAAUAAAAAAAAUUUAAAGUUGAUGGAUUAAUUUCAAUAUGACUUACAGUUGAAGGGCCUGUGUAUUUACAUCCAAGUGAAAACGCUAGUUUCCCUGUUUACUCUUUUUUUUUACUCCUCAUUUUUUUAACCCUAGCUGUUUACUAUUUGAAUUUUUCUUUUGAACGAGUUUUAUUGGACGAUACAACUAAUUAGAACGCGAGUUUCUAUAGUUAGAGAUUUAUGAUUUGUCCAUAAACUGUUUAAUAAAGUGUAUAAAAAAUAUGGUUAAUUGCAUACACGUCCUUGCAAAUAUGGUGAAUUGCAAAUAUAUCCCUACAAAGCUCAACUUUCAUAAUUUGUCCCCGCAAAAGUCCUAAUGUAUUUAGAUAUGUCCCUCUGGCUAGGACCCGUUAGAGAAUUGUUAAUUUUUUAACAGUAUGCUGGUGAAAUGACAUUUUUGCCCUCACAAAUAUGUCCCUCCAAAAGUACUCCCUCUUCCUCUUUCUCUUCCUCUUCGGGCCGUGGGAGUGGACGGCGGUGGCGGCGGAUCAUCGACGACGACGACAAAGAAGAAGGAGGAGGAGAAGAGGAGAAUACGAAGAAGAAGAAGGAGGAGACGGUGGAGGCCGGAGGAGCUCGGAGGCGAGGGGGUUCGCGGCGAGGUUGCAGAGGUCGCCGACGGUGGAGGAGAGGCGAGAGGCGGCUGCGGCGACGACGCAACACCGAGCUCGGAAGCAUCGCGCGGCGAUGGCGGUGGAAGAUACUUCGGAGAGGAGGUGGCGGAGGUCGGCGUCGACGGCGCUUCGGCGAGGUCGGGGUCGGGUUUGCCGGCGACGAAGAAGAGGGAAGAGGAAGAGGGAGAGGAAGAAGAAGGGAGAAAAGGAAGAGAGAGAAGAAGAGAAAGAGGAAGAGGGAGAGGGUUCGCCGCCGCAUCUCCUCCCUCCCUGGCGACGAAGAAGAAGGAAAAGGAAGAGGGAGAGGAAGAAGAAGGAUGUAAAAUUGUCAUUCACUUAUUAAUUAACCAUGGUUAAGUAUUUUAACUGUGGUUAACGAAAUUUCUCUAACGGAAAUUAACGGCAGGGACAUAUCUGAAUACAUUAGGACUUUUGCAGGGACGAAUUAUGACAGUUGAGCUUUGUAGGGAUGUAUCUGCAAUUCACCAUGUUUGCAGGGAUGUGUAUGCAAUUAACGCUAAAAAAUAUAUGCAUAUGGGUAUCCGUACCCAAUCUAGAUCCGACCUAUAUCCAAUCUAUACCUGGUCUUAAGUCGGUAGUAUACGGAUAGUCACUACAUAGACUUGCUCAAAUAGACCCGAUGGGUAUAUUAUUAUCUUAAGAACACAGACCCGGACCCAAUCCGAAGUUAAAUGGUUAUGGUAUAUAUAUAUAUAUAUAUAUAUAUAUAGGCUAGGGCUACUAUACUCUUAUGAGUAUAAAGCACUUCGUACUCAUAAAUUGUCUUCAACGAUGAAGCUUCCGGAUCGACGAUCCACUCCGUUAAAUAUGAUCUAAACUAUUUGAAACUUGUAGAAAAUAAAUUUCGUAAUUUUUCGAAAUCAUAAUAAAGUUCAUCAAGCGGGUAUAAAAUGAACGGUCAAAAUUGAACGAUGUCUUAAAAAUGGAUGAUCAAAUCCUUCAAUUUAAGAUCAGAGUUAUUGAUCUUUAUCUAUGUAGUGAAUAGAAUUUUCUAUCAAAAAUUCAACUGAUUUCGAUUCUUUUACACCGUUAAACUAGCAAAUAUUCCAUACCGACCGCUAAAAAUUGCCGAUUUGGUGACCUUUGAUCGUAAGGUAAAUGAUGUCGAAAAAUUAUAAAAUUUGAUUAUUAGACGUUUUAAAUGCUCUAGAUAACGUUUAACGGUGUGGAUCGUCGAUUCGGAAGCUCUAUCAUCGAAAUCAACUUAUGAGUACGAGGGUGAUCGUAUUCAUAAGAGUAUAGUAGCCGGACUAUAUAUAUAUAUAUAGAGAGAGAGAGAGAGAGAGAGAGAGAGAGAGAGAGAGGAGCUAGGCUGGUAUACUAUCGGUAGCACGGAGGCCUCUGUGCUACCAAGUUGUUUUCAAUGAUGUGGCUUCCAAAUCUACGAUCUGCUCCGUUAGACUUAAUGUAGACUAUUGAAAGUAUUUGGAAACUAAAUUUCAUAAUUUUUCGGCAUCAUUUACCUAUCGAACGAGUAGUCUAAAAAUGAACGGCUGAAAAUAAAAAUCUCAUAAAAAAUAAUGAUAAAAGACUUAAAUUUAAGAUCAGAUGUACUGAUCUUACUCUAAAUAGUGAAAAAAAAUUCUAUAAAAAUUUCAUUAGAUUUGGAUUGUUUUACAUCGUUAAAUUUACAAACGCACCACAUCUACCAUUAAAAUUGUCAAUUUUGAAACCUUCUGAUCACUAAACACAUGGAUGGUCAGCCAAGAAGUCAGCUAUUGCUUGCCCUUUCACCACCUUUGCCAGAACGUAAUUAAAAGGAAAUUCAGACAACGCUAACAUCCAUCUUCCAAUUCUUUCUCUUAACACCAAUUUAAAUAACAUAUACUUGAUCAAAUUGGUUUUGCAAACAACUAACACUUCGACUGGCAGAAUAUAAUAUCUCAACUUAGUACAGGCAUAAUAUAAUGCGAAGUAUAAUUUUUCUAUUGCCGAAUAUCGUUGUUCGGCAUCUAACAAACGUCGACUGAGAUAACAAAUACCUGUUCUUCUUUCUAACCAUUUUCUUAAGCUAACAAGCAUCCCAGAUUUUCAUCCACAGCCGAUUAUAACUUCAUUAGCUGACCCAAUUGAGAAGGAAUGAGAACUGGAGGAUUAGCCAAAUACUUUUUGAUGUUUUCAAAUGCUUCUUGUUGUUCCUCCAUCCAUAUAAACUCCUCUUGGUUUUUAAGCCGAAGUAACGGAGUAAACACCCCUAUUCUACCGGCUAAAUUUAAUAUUAAGCGUCGUAAAUAGUUCAUUUUUUCUAAAAGGCUUUGCAAUUUUUUUAUGUUCUUAGGCGGCGGCAACUCUAUAUAUGAUUGCCUUUGCCUUGUUUUUAUCUAUUUUGAUUCCUCUUUGAUGUACUAGAAAUCCGAGAAAAUUUCCUGCUAAAACUCCAAAAGCGCACUUCAGCGGAUUCAUUUUUAAAUUAUAUAUUUUCAUACGCUUAAAAGCAAGUUCUAAAUCAACCCAACGAUCGCUUGGCGAUGUAAACCUCCAACAUUUUACCGAUCAAAUCAUGAAAAAUAAAAUUCAUUGCCUCUGAUAAGUGGCUCCAGCAUUUUUUAAACAAAAUGGCAUCACUAUCCAUUUGAAAUUUUCAAUAGAUCCUGGGCAUCUAAAAGCCGUUUUUGAUACAUCUUCUCUGACAAUAAAAAUUUGAUUAUAACAAACAUGACCAUCCAUAAAUGAUAGAAUUUUAUAGCCGGCUGCCGAGUCCGCUAGUAUGUCAGUUAUGGGCAUCGGAUAUUCAUCUUUAGGCGUAGCCAAAUUCAAAUUUCUAAACUCAAUGCAAACUCUAAGUUUGCCAUUCUUUUAUCGCCCUGGUACAAUAUUAGAUACCCAAUCAACAAAAUGGAUUGCUCUAAUAAGCCCAACCUUUAAAAGAUUUUAAAUUUUUUUUAAAUUUGAAAUACAAUACUCGGUUCAAACCUAUGAACCAGCUGUUUGUAAGGCUUAUAUCUCUUUUUAAUAGGGAGCCAAUGUUCUAUAAUUUCUCAACUCAACGCAGACAUUUCCUCAUAACUCUAAGCGAAGCAGUCCUUAUAUUUCAUCAGCAACUUUAUUAGCUCCUCUUGUUGUUGAGCCGAAAGAUGUGAGCUAAUAUACGUUGGCCUUUUAUCUUCGUCCGACCGUAAAUUCACCUCCUUUAGUGGAUCCUGAGUUUCCAGCUUUUUCUCGCCGAUCUUGAUCGGCGAUUCUUCUAUAUGUUCUGUUUUGACCCCUUCAGGAAUUUCAGUGCAAGUCUGAUCAGGCUUUAACACAGCCUUUAUCUCUUGAGCCGUAUCCUUUUUUCUAGAUCGGCUCUAGAACUUAGAGUUUCAUCAUGUAAUUCUUUGUUGGCCACCUUAGCCGAUUCAAUGCAUGAUCUUUCCUUGGCCGAUUUUGCCGAUCUCAUUACUGAUUUCGCAUAGAACUUUUCAUCGGCGAAUUCAGCCGAUCUAAUACAUGAUUUUUUAUCGGCCAACUCAACCGAUUUGAUAAAGUAGCCGACUUCUUUGGUCGGCUUAUCUUGCCGAAGCUCGGCUAGAGUCUCAGUCCCAAGCUUUUAAUAUUCUAUUNAUAUAUAUAUAUAUAUAUAUAUAUAUAUAUAUUAGCUAUUGGUGGAACGUGGAGAGGAUUGGUUUCGUCGUAAGUCGGCGACCAAAUCGGAUGAAACAAAAAUUGUAGAUUCGAUGCCCCAGUCGUGCUGAACGCGCUGGCACGAUCCGAUUGAAAAUCCGACGGACGGAUCUCCGAAAAUCGCAUAAAGUUCGCUGAGGGGUCGAAAUUGGCAAAACAAAAAAAUUGCCAAAAGCCCUAUAUUUUAUGUACCGUUUUACGUGAUUUCAAAUGUCGAGGUGCGUAAGUGCGAAAUGCUCGAGCUGUGAGGGACUUGGCUAGAAAUAUGCGGCUGGGGAGGACUAAAUUGCAUUUUUGCCAACCUAUAUAAGAGCUAAUGUUAGGGUUUCCAUGCAAACCCUAACCCUAGUUGCCAUAGCUCCCUCCAGCUGCGCCCUAGCCGUCACCAGCACCCCCUGCCCUUGCCACGCCGACGAUGAGAGACUCCGGCCGCCGGAAAAAGGCCGACAUUGCCUCUCCUCCACCACACUCUCCACCAAGCUACUGUCACAUGGCCGUGGACCUCAGGGUUAACCAUACACAUUGGAUCCCUCUUCACUGGCCGCAACCCGGCCUUCGGCGCUGUUCCCGCCGGCCGCUGUCGUUCGCGCGCGCAGCUGGCCAAUCUGCAGUUUGGCUCAGCCAGCUCAGGCCAAGCUUAGCUCAGAUCGUGGCCCGCGAGCCACCAGCGCCCUAGACCGGCUGUGCCACCUUCCUGGAUCUCUAGCGACCUCCCUCAUGCUGCCCCGUGGCCUCGGAGCUCCACCGGCCGCCGCCCUAGCUCCCUGCGGCCGCCCAGACUCAGCCCGGGCCGAGGCUUGGCCGCAUAGCCUCCUGCUCGCCGCCGCCGCUGCCCACGAUCGGCUGUGCCGUCCUCCCUCGGCCUCUGACGACCGGUCGCCGUUGCCCCGGAGCUCCCCCGGCUGCCGUUUGGCCGCUGCUACCUCCCUGAACCGAGCGGAGUUGUGCGGGCUCGCGGCUCUCCACCACGUCACCGGCCACCUCCCGCCGUUGGCCAGCGAGAGCCCNGGGCCGAGCUUGAGUCAGCUCAUAGCCGCGAGCUGCUACCGCUUCGGGGUUGGCCGCGCCGCCCUUCCUCGGCCUCCGAAAACCCCUCGUCGUCGUCUCUGCGGGCCCCCGGCAGCCGCCGUGUCUUUCUGCAGCCACCCGGUGUAGGUACGGGCCGAGCUUGGGUCCGCGUCGUCUCCGCGCGCCGCCGCCGCCACCCACCAUCAGCCACGCCGCCCUUCCUCGGUCUCCGGCGACUGGCCGCCAUCGCCUCGGAGCGCCCUCGGCCACCACCAAGCCGCCGCUGCCUCCCUAAAUCGAGCCAAGCCAUACGGGCUUGUCCCGGUCCACCGCGCCACCGGUCGCCUCCCACCGCCGGCCAGCGCAUGCCCGGGCCUCCUCCCACCGGCCGCAACCAUCCUGCGCCGAUGCGCCCGCCGUCCAACUGCCGCCGGCCUUCCUGUGCUCCCACUGGUACCGGUAAGUGCAGUUUAUGAAUUCUGCACACUGUUUCGAGUUCGGAUCGCUGUUCCGGCAAUCCGAGGACACCCCGACGCUCCUGGAAGUGAGCACGACAAUCCCUGGUCUGUGCCGAUCAUCAUGCUCACCUCCUUUGGGGUCAGCGAAGCCCCGAUUUGCAUGCUAAGCACUGUUUAGGCACUGUGUGCGCUAUUCACUGAAGUUCGCGUCGCUCCCGCCCUCUCCACAGUGGUCGGCCAUGCUUCGAAGUGUGAGCACGGCCUCCGACACAUCGAGACCUGUCAGCAGGUGUCUCGGCCAGGCUCGAAUGUCCUCAGUUUGCACUGUCGAGCAGUAAAACCCCAAAAAUCACAUAACAUGAUGUGAUUUUAGGUAGUCUCAGGGGCUUAUAUGCAAUUUUACAUUUCAUGGCUGCUAUGGGCAGUGUGUGCAGGCAGCGGGUGACCUCUGGACUGGUUGUCCAAGUUUCUAGGCCUUUUCGAAAAUCGAAUGUUGAUUUCUGGUGCGUUUUUCGGCGAAAUCUGCCGACAGAACACGAUUCCGUUCAGAAUCAUUCCGACGGUGCCUCACGAAAAAUUAUAUGGUCGCUGUGCCUUGUUGGCUGGUCACCCGCGUCGUUUUGAGGGUUCAAAAACGACGGGUAAGCGACGUUGGGUUCCGGUGUCGAAAUUGACACUUCCGGGAACCCGGAUCGGAACGAUUAUCUGACGAUAAUCGUUUCAAUGUGAGGAUAUGUGUUUGCUACCAGGUCACACAAAUUAUUGUGUUUAGUGGCAGUGGGUGACUCGUGGCAUGAGUCGAUGAGUUCCGGGACGGUUCGUGGGUCCCAGUGGAGUCCCGAUGCGAUUUUCAAGACUUCCGGCAAGUUACGGCAAUCGGUUUUAGAAAAUCGAUUCCCGUGGGGAUUACUGGUGGGGAUUGUGAGAGUUAGUGGUUCAUAUUCGUGGAUUGGGUUCUAACCCGGUGGACCCUUCGUAGGUCCGGUUGAUAUUUCUUCCGUAGUUGGGAGAUCAGUGCUGCGUACGUACAGGUGGGUACUUCGAUCCGAAAUCAAUACAGUGGUGCACGCUCGAUGACAUCCUUUCCACCCUUCUCCUACUAUCAUGUUGCAUUCUAUUUGUUGAGCCUUGCACCUUUAUUUCCUAUUUAUCGCUCUACUUGGUUUAUUUACAUAUCUAGCAUCAUAAGUAGAAGUAGAGCAGGUUUAUCAUUACAGAUGAGAUUUGUGAACUAGUUGGUCGGUUCUUGUAUCUCAUACUUUGACCUGUUCGGUCGGUUCAUUGCAUCUAGCAUUAUGACCUACUUGGUCGAUUGGACUACUUGGUGACCUAUACGGUCGGUAUACCCUGAGGGGUAGGAUUGUCGGCUAGUUGCCGAUGGUUGGCUAUUGAGCAUAUCAGUAUCGAGCGCCACUACUCAUUCGUAUUUCACGAACACUAGCGGUCUGAUCCACCGCGGCCAAGUGUUCUUUUCCGAAAAAGUGGUUGGACAUGCCAACCCGUGAGCCCAGCGGCCUAGGCUGGGUUAUAUGCAGGUAGAGUGAUAGUGCCACAGGCCUGAGGCCUAAGGACCGAUAUGGCAGGUUUCAGAUUGGAUAUUUUUUGACUUAUCGUUCGAUUGAUGCAUACAUACAAUAGCGAUAGUUAUUCAUAUAUACAUCUCGAUCUUUUAUUUAUCGCUGCUACUGUAUUACUUUUACCCAUACUUUUGUUUAUCCUCCUUGACUGGUGAGUACCCUCGCCCUCGUCGGCUUGCAGUACCCACCGGGAGGGGAGACAUGUAUACAUGUUCUCACCCCCCACCCCCCUUUCAGGUGACGUCACGGGUCCGAGUCGGGAAGAUUCGUGAGGUGUGCAGCUUAGCAUUCGAUAGAUCCAUCAUGUAGUAUCCUUGUUUUAUUUAUUAAUUAAUUAAUGUACUUAAUUAUUUUAUGUCGGUUGGUGCAUGCAAAUUAAGGUGGCUUGGAUGCCACGUGCACCCAUGCAUGCUUAUCAACAAAUUAGGUGGGCAUUGCCUAAUUUGUUUACUUCUCUCUUUGUUCGACCGAAGCAAAGAGCUCGGUGGAGGUAGCCGCGAGCACGAGUUCGACGCCAACGACGCGCCGCGAAGCCGUUCGAGGGUACGGUUGGGAUCGUAGCGCUGCGAGGAAGCUAGGCGAGGGUGUGUUUUCGCCGUUCUCGACGCCGCGUCAAUGUCCGAUUAGCCUUUGAGGUGAGUGUUCCGUUGCAUUGCUUCAAGUAUUAUUAUUUCGAGCUUGGUGCUGAUUUGCAGAAUUUCCAGCGUCGACCGUCGGUAUUUCAGUUCGUACUCGGCGUAGGAGCGUCGGGUUUCGACGGGACUUGGUUCGUUGGAUUUGGGACUUCGAGAGGAAUCCACGAAGCCCUUACUUGCUGGAUUUGGUAAAGGUUUGCUAGGUCGGAAUUUCGCUCCUCUCUGUUGCUGUUUUUGGAGGCAGAAUUAAUGUUUAUUGUCGGAUUCUCCGUGUAGAGUUUAGCGGGAGCUUGACUUCGGGGCCUUUGGAGGUUUUCGGACGUUUCGGCAAGUUGUUCCGCAGCCGAGGGGAGUUCCGUGCUGCCAGGGAUUAGCGAUCGAGGUGGGUUACAUCGGUUUAUUCCUAAGUAUUAUAGUAGUCGACAUGUAUGAUUUCCUGUUUUUGUAAAUCAUGUGGUAGCUCAAUUUCGUCGAUUGUAUAAUGAAUGAAAUUAGCUUGAGGGCAUGACUUGUAACUAUAAAUAUACAUGUUGGACUUAGAAUUAAACUUAGGAGAAAACCAACGUUCGGGACCUGGCAUAUGUUAAACUACCUGAUUUAGCCUAGGGGCCGUUGUAUUAUUUUAUACUGUUGCAGUAUCCUCAUAGUGAGUAUUCCAGGUAGUUUAGUUUUUAGUUACGCUCGUGCUGGGAUGCCGAGUGUAUUUUUACAGUAGCGUUCAGGCUGUUCCGGACUGUUGGGUGUCGUCGGAGUUGACGGUGGACUCGUAUCGCCUUUUUGGCGUUAGAUUGUGCCCCGAGGGCACGUUACCUGUUGGUUGUUAGACCAGUUAGAGUAGGUUACUUGACUUAGCCUGUGAGAGCAGUAUGAACUUGACAGAGAUACUUGUAAACUCGUUGGGUCGCGCCCACGAAUGCCAUUCCGGAAUGAGGUUUCAGUGCGAUGAGUGUCGCAGUUUCUGUUGGACAGUUCUUGAGCCGGCUACCCUCGGGGUGGUGUACGGCGCAGCUAGAUACAGGCAGGGUGGGUCCGUUUUGGGCAGCCCGGAUAAGAUAGUGAGUGACGCUUUUCCCUACCUUUGGUGAGGUUGUGACGUGAGUGGAGUCUUAGCCGUCCUAUUGGACCUUUUCUGGAACCGACUACUCUUGUGAUAUGGUGUAGUCUAAUUAGGCGAGACGGGUGUAUUCACAGUCUUCAGAGAGUUUUCUCCGCCGGUUACUCUUGAGAUACGGUGUAGUCUAGUAGACGAGACGGGUGUAUUCACAGUCUCUAGAGAGUCUUCUCCGCCGGUUACUCUCGAGCUACGGUGUCACCUAAUUAGACGGGAUGGGUGUAUUCACAGUCCCUAGAGAGUUUUCUCCACCAGCUACUUUUGGAGUAGGUUACGGGUUCGAUCCGACAGGCGAGACGGGUGUGUUCAUAGUCCCUAGUGAGAUUGAGUUAGUUGUGACUUUUACUACAGUUGGUUAGUGUAGAUCAUGCUAGUGUAGCGAUAUGUAGCGGUAGAUUUCUUUCCAGCUUUUCCUGCUAGCCUUGUUACCUUCUGUAGACUUAGUGGGUGGACCGAUGAUUGUUGAGGGCGGCACCCACUGAGGACUACUUGUUUCUACAGUAGUUCUCACGCCCAGUUGUUACUCCGUUUUUACAGAGUCUUCGUAUUCGGCUGCUGCUGUUGUUGGUCAGGAGCUAGGCAAGGGCAUCACGAGUUAGAGCCCUACCCGAGGAGCAGAGCUAGAGGCACCCCUACUGCAGGUAGAUGUUUUGGUUUGGGUUCAUGUACAUACAGACUUUUAACUCGCCAACGCGAGUAGCUUUGUACUCUGGGAUUCAGUGUAUGUAUAUGGAACUCGAUUUUUUUUACUUUACUAGUUCUUCUAGCAGCUCUAUACUACUGUUUGUAGUAUUGUAUAUUUUACAGGUACAGCUGUCACUUCGUAUACAGGAGAAAUUCCUUUGCAUACGGCGGAUUUGUCGGCGUGCCCGGGGAACGUGUAAUCCGGGGCGUGACACAUCAGCCCGUUACUUUGGUUAAAUUCUCAAACUCAUCUUUUAAAUAAUUAACUUAGACUUAUUGGUUCAUGAUUUCCCUUAUUUGAAUAAUUGAGAUUUUGUGAAUGUAAUAAAGGACUUACAGUUUUCUUUUGAGAUGAAAACUGUUUUCUACCCUUCGUUGUAGCAUGUUUUACAAGAAAAGGUUUUCGUGUGGAAAACAAUUUUUAAAAGGUUUUCUUCUUGGUUUUCAGGACUUAGUAUUUCAAAAUGAGUUUCCGGAUAGAAAAUAUUUUUAAACUAAUAGAUGUGGAUAUGUGAUUAUCUGUGAUGAAAUGAAUGUGAAUGGUGAAUGUAUGUAUAUGCUCAUAUGAUUGUGGUUGUAUAUUGUACUUGUGCGACGCCGUGCAAAUACAGGAAAGACUCUGUUCGUGUCAACAGCGGACUUCCUGUAUUUGUGGCGGAUCUGACAUACUCUGGGGUCAGGUGUUUCAAAAAAAAAAAAAAAAUUGGGUGCUUUUGCAUUGAUCGCAUUGAUUUUUAAGUCAAAUCGGGACCCCGGGGCGUGACAACUCCCUCCUCAGUAACCUAUACGAAUGAAAUAUGAUCCGGGUCAAUGUCGGCCCAGUUGAUCAUAUGGCCAAUUUCUUCUACAUUAAUAUCCACCAUCUAGACCGUCCCUUGGCCCUAAUUUCUUCCAUGCGAUCUCCGACACAUUGGAAAAGCUUCCCAUGCAAGGUGGACAGUACACAUUCGUUUGUGUGAAUCCAAUCAUGCGUAAGCAACAGAUUAUAGUGACUAUCUGCAUCCACUACGAAAAAAGCUGUUCGAAAGGUCUUGGAUCCUACGUCGUGAGCACACCCCUCGCCUGUUGACCGUUCCCAGUGAAAUAGGUCAUGGUUGUAUUAGUGGGCUUGAGUUCAUCCUCACUCUUGCCCAAUUGCUUGAAAAAUGAUGUAGGCAUGACAUUGACCAUUGCGCUACCAGUGACCAUAACUCGGCCUACAGGCCGUCCUUCUAUCAUGACCCUUAUGAAUAAAGGCCUGACAAAUCUUGUCUGCAAGGCCGAUGGCUUUUCGAAAAUCACCGUAUUGGCCGCUUUCGCAUCUUCAAGCUGAAGUUGAGCCACUGUAAGCUCUUUCCCAUUGUAAUCGGUUCUUCCAAUUCUAUAGAUUCUGCCUUGAAUGAGUGUGGUAGAGCAUAUACCAUGCUUAUAUCAGCCGAACUUUCUUCGGCCGAUUUUUCCUACACUUUUUGUUUCUUAUCUUCUGAUUCUUUGCUGCCUCGGCCAAAGAAUCACUUUCCGACCGAACCUCCCUCUCCUUGGGAGGUCACCUGUCUCGCUUGAUGAUCGUCUCUAACGAGGCGAUCUUCUCCUCCAAAGCCUUCCGAGUAACUUUCUUUGUCGGUUUACUCGGUGUCAACUGUUCAAUCUUGGAUUUCAACCAUGGUACAGGCCUAGAACCGCCCGCUUCAUAAUCAUUUUUCAUAGGCCGAAAAGACGGCUGUAACUCAAGCCAAUUCCAGACAUUCGGCCUCAUCCCCUUUGCUUCCCAAUGAUAUCUUGCUUGGCUUGCAUUCUUUGCUGUCGGCGAUUUUGAGUCUUCGUCAGCAUCGGCCCAUGCCAUUUGGUCGGUGCUUUUGCAGUGUACGUACCACUGAUCAAUUGGCACAUUGGCAGGCACCUUGAUGGUCAUGAGAUGUUCUCUCAUAAUUUCUCUUCUCUCCCACGGUCUCGGCCAAGGUUGAAUGCCGAGUUCGUUGACUAAUUUUCGACCGAGGAAUUCAAUGUCAUCCUCGGUCAUCCCCUCAAACUCAGGCUCAGGUCUCAGCCUAGCCUGAUGAUGCCAGUUAGGCCAAUAUCCCGGUUACAUUUGUUGUGCGCCGAAGGGCUUCUCAGGGUAGCUUCUUCUGCUCAUUCUUUCUUCAGUUUGACAAUUAUAGUAAUCAUCUAGGACCUUUUGUAUCACCACGUCUUUCUUAUCCUUUCUAGACUCCACUUUUUAUUUGGAGUCAUUCGAAUCUUCUUCCGAACAGUCGUUCGGAUCAUUUUCUGCUUCAGAAAGAUCUUUCCAUUCUUCAGGGAAUACCAUAAACUCCUUCCAUUCCCCAUACAGUUUCUUCUCUUGUAUAAUCGCCUCCCAGUCACGGCGAGUCAUCUCGGCCUUGCAUCGUAUGCACAGCCGAAGAGAUCUCUUGGUAUUAGCAAUGUCUUGAUCAACUUUUCCCUCAAAUGAUGCUUUCCCUUUGAUGUCCACCAUGUUAACCUAUGAGGGAAAAAGAUUUUGAUCAACUUCUAUAUUUUUAUUUUCUUGGUCAGCAAAUAUGAGCCGACCUUCAUUAAUCUCUUUUUGAAUUUGUCUUUUGAAGGCGAUACAUUCAUUAGUCCUGUGGCUCCACGAGUGAUGCCACUCGCAAUACUUUCUUCUUUUUAAUUCUUCUCCGGAAGGUAUUGUUUGACCUUCCUGAAGCUUAAUUCUGCCAUCCUUUAACAACCGAUCAAAGAUCAUAUCGGUCUUUAAGACGUCAAAAGAAUAAGUAUAUGCAAAAACGGGCGCUUUCGCUUCGCUAGUUCUAGCUGGCUUCAGCAGCGCACAUUUAUAAAGUUAUCAGUUUUUAACCAUUUGCGCUGCAUAUAUUUCAGCCUCAUUAGCCGAAUCUUCAGUUCCACUAGAAGUAUUCGGCUCAUCUUGAGCCGAAAAUUUCUCAACAAAAGAGAUAUUUUUCUUUUUCCUCUUAUUCCAAUCCUUACUUCGGCUCCAUCUUGGCCGAUCCUCAUUAUUGUCUUUCCUGAAUUGCUCAUAUUGAGCAAUCCGGACGCCCAAGUCGAACAGAUUUGGGAAAUACUUAUCUUCAAAAUGAUCUUUAAUUUUGAAGCGCAAACCAUUGAAUGUCAUUUUAGCAAAUUCUGAUUCUGGCAUUCUAACGAAACAACGACUUCUUGCCAUUUUGAAUUGGUUUAAAUAUUCCUCUACCAAUUCCCCCAGCUUUUACCGAUAUUGGGCUAAAUCAGGGACCAAUAAUUCCGGCUCUGAUCUAUAAAAUUGCUCAUGAAACUUUCUCUCCAAUUCAUCCGUCUUGGAUAGAAUUGGCGGGUAAACUAGUAUACUAAGUGAAUGCCGUCUUAGUUAACGACGUGUUGAACAAUCUAAGUUUAAGAAACGGAUCUACGGCGGCCUCUCUAAGGUGGCCUCUCUAUUAUUGGGCCAUAAACCGCGCCACGUGUUCGACCAUGUUUUCGGUCUCAGCGCCCAAAAAUUUGUCGAAUUUUGGCAUUUUUCAAUUUGUUGGGUAAGAAUGUUCUAGAUCUAUGUUCGCAGGAUAAGGAGACCUAUAGCCCCCACUCUGAAAGUAUUUCGAAUGGCUUCUUCAAUCUGAGCGUACAACUCAUUAUUGUUUCCUGGUGCGGGAAUAAGAGCCUGUGCCUGAACUGGGUUCUAUCCUGGAGGCACCCAAUAUUUGUGCCGCAAGAUUCAUACCUUUCAUCACAUUGGGGGCUUGCCCCCUAGGCCUUACCCCUAUAUUCUGGGGCUGGUAAGCCGGUAAUGGCGGUGGAGGAAGUAAACCCCACGCCACUUCCAGCUAUUGACCGGUAUUUGCAUUCGCCAAUCUGUAGGCGGCUUGAAACGGUGUUACCUGAGGCUGCGUAAUCGCCGGUGUAACUGGAUUUUGCAACACCUGCGUGCCCACAGGUCCUGGCAGGCCCGCAGAUGGUUGUUUGUUUCGAGUCAAUAACUGCCCAAUCCGCAUAUGGCUGAAGAGCCGAAAUACUUAUAUAUUGCUCAGAGUUGGUUGAGAAAAGAGAAAUACAGAACCAAAGUAUGCCACUACAGUGCACACUCCCGAAAGGAAAUCUAAUCCUACAAACUACCCCUAGGAAAAGCAGUGAAUGCGAGGAAAAGAGAAAAAUUACAGUUAGACUACUCCUAGAAAGCAAGAGAAAAUGUGUGGAAUUGAAAGUGGUCUUCUCGUUCGCAGAAAAAAAAAGACCCCUCUAUUAGGCGUCCUCUUUUUAUUUAUAGCUCUGCCUGCUGGUUAUUCAGUUAUUUUCCAUUAUCGGCCACGUUCCUAUUUCUGUGGGCUGAGUAACUAGGCCAGGUAACUGAGUCCGUUAUACCCACUCUUCAGUUUUAGACGCAUCUUUUCCCAAUUCCUGUCGCAUCAUAUGUGGUCUAAUAGCUGGCUUCAGGGGUCGCUCUCGUGGUACACUUGGUCUACCACAUGGCGCAAAUUUUGUGGCAUGAACUACAUUGCAGUUUUGGAAUUUUAGCUAGCAGGGAUUUAAUGUACCUAAAUUGAGAGCCAAAAGAACUCUAUCCUGGACCUGCAGCUAAUUAACCUCGGGUUUCCAAGAAUAUUUUUUUGUGAGAUAGGUAGCACGCUACCCGCUUCGUUUAUUUCAUUUAGAAAUAAACUUAGCUAGAAAUGUGAAUCAACUAGGAUUCGAACUUAGGUCUCGGGUACCAACCACCAAGAUUAUUGAGUUACCAUCUGAGGAGAAAAGAGAACCUUUAAAAUUUUUAAUAUAAUAGAACGGACUUUUGUAGUUUAAUUACUUCAUAAACCAGAAUCAUCUACGUUAAAGUUGCACCAUGGGAGAAAUCCACAAAUAGCCAAAUAGAUUGUUAAAGUUGUACCAUGGGUAGCCAAAUAGAUUGUCCUCAUGACAUAAUUUGUCCGCACUGCUCACUACUAUUCUGUACAUACCACGAAAGGGAAAGCUCCAAAACACUCCGGUGUUUUAGAAGAAUCAUAGCCAAUGCAGUCUGCCAUCAAGAAACUGCUUUGUCAAACCAAGCCUCAGAAGCCUGAGAAUAACACACGGAAAUGUGAUUGCAGUUUGUGAUCAAUAAGGGCAUAAUUAUUGAGAGGAUGAUUUGCAUAAGUUUGACUGCAACAAAACAAAAUUAACACUUACUGUCACUUUCCAAAUGUGGAAAAGGUGAAAUUUUACUUUUCUUAGCAGGACUAAUUAAAGAUUUAAGGGAAAUCCUCAUAAAUUAGGAAUGUACAUUUGAUCAUUGUUGCUGUAGAUACAAAAAUCUCAAGGCUGUAACACUGAAGAAGUCCAAAAUUUUAUCCCUAACGAAAUCCAAAAAGAAAAAGUAGGUAGCCUUGGUUCUCUACAAGAUUUGAGAACCCUCCCAAAAUUUCUUCCUCACGAUUAAAACUCUUUCUUCUCCGGAGGAAAGAGCAUCAACUUUUGGCUCCACUUCUGAUGACCAGUCAUCCCAUCUCAAUGCUGCCAACAACCUCUUGAUGUACUCUAUAACAGGAACUUUGUCCCUGAUAAUGGCAAAACCAAGAGGUCGCAGCAUCCGAUCCAUGUCGAUAAGUAGAUCCUCCAAACUACAUCCUUGUUUCUGUAUCUCAGAGAACAAGAGCCAAGCAUGAAGCAAAUCAUAAGUGCGUGGGUAAGUCGAAAACGACUCACACCUGCAUUUAAGAGAAAUAAGAACAAUUUAACAAGCAUCCGAAGUAACUCACACUUGAAUUUAAGCAAAUUAUAAAUAAUUGAACAAGCACUUGCUGCUGUCCAACAAGGAAAACAAAACACAAUUUGGAAUUUGUCCUAUAACAAAAGCCAUUUGUAUAAAAACAAGCAGACGAAAGUUCAGAUGGACCAGGAAGAUAGUAGAACUUUUAUCUCAAGGGAAACCAAAAGUCAAAUCAGGAAACUCGACAAGUUCAAGAAAUAGAUCAGCGCCAUGUUGAAAGGUAUAGGUUGUUUGGUUUGCACGGACCAUGUAAUGACUGCCACCAAAUAAAAGAACAGUUCAAAGGUUAAUUAGGGGUGGCAAGGCUAUUCAUUGUGUGAAACGGAAAAUACAGAAACUUGGAAUUAUCACUGAAUUAUCACUCUUAAGUCUUGAAAUUCAUUAGACAAUGAUAAGGCGAGAAGCUUGUAAAUAUGAGAAUGAUGGGAAAACUUCUAGAGUAGCAGCAUGGUUAUGGAGGGAAUGAAAGACUUCAUUAAGUUUUUACACAAUGUAUGCUUGAAAAGAACGUGAGAAAAGAAAACAGUAAGAAAUCAUUCAGAGAACCUAUUUAACAGUUCACUGCAUCAACUGUGCAUGGUCAAACUCAUUGUUUAUAUUCUUAUACAAGAACAUAGGCCCGAUGCAGUACCGUUACUCGAUCCCGGUAUCGGUACUCACCAACAGAUACCGGUACUCAACACAAAGAUGCACAAACCCGAGAGCUCCCCUUCGUGUAAUCCCUCUAGUGUACCGGUACACCUCUCAGGUACCGGAACACAACACUCAAAAUCCUGCUUCUACAGAUUUUAGUGUUCGAACUCCAACUCGCACAGCUCUGAGUCCGUUUUUGCGCCUAUUUCAUGCCAAAACGCUUCUAACUCGUCCCGACACUCUACAGAUGUAUCGACAAGUCACUGAUGCUGCAGUCAGUCCAACAGCUAAACUCCAGAGACGCUAUAUUCUCCCCCACUACAAAAAGUUUCGUCCUCGAAGCAUAAAGUCAUACCGACAUAAGAGAAUAUGAUAACUUAAGAGAAUAUGGUAACUCCUACCAGUGUCAGCUCAUGAUAGUGCAGAAAUCACUAUCUGUGAGAUCUCCUACCAGAAGAUCAACUAGUAAAGAGUCUUAAUGGCUAAUAUAAUAUUAUUAUGAUUAUCAGAAUUUUAGAAGAAAGCAAAACCAUAAAAAGUUAGGCUGCAAGAUAAAAACAUAACUUGAAAAAAAAAAUGAAAUUUAUUUGGCGGAUCAUGACAUGGAUCUUACAUAUCAGAAUUAGUUGAUGGUCCAAAAUUUAAGCAAUCUGUUGAUUUUUAUAUUCCUUCAACAUUUCCGAAAAUAUUCGAUGAUAUUGAUUUUAGAGAGUCAUAGGCCUGCUAUCUCAGUCCAAUUGUUAUUGUAAAGAUUUAUGUUCAGCCUCAAUAAUGAGAGCAUGAGUAGUUUCACUGCGGCUUAAUCAUUACACACAUACACCAUCAAUAAGGAAUUGUGUAAUGAACCAACAGAGUUACAUGGAGCUGAAAGUUAGGAACAUACCAGUCAUGAACAGUUCCUAUUAAACCUCUGUCAUAGAUUAUCUUCAGUUUCCCAGAUUCAACAGCAGGAACGACAUUCAUCACCCAGACAUCUUUAUUUGUGAGUGAUGCUGCAAAACCCCCAACGUUUGCCCUCAUAUCCAUAACAUUUCUAAACAAAUCCUUUUCUAUCUCAGAUUCCAUUUGCUUCCAAUACUGUGUCACCCUAUAGUGCCAAAUCUCCUGAUUUAGCCAAUAAGUACAUGAUUUCAGGCUUGGAAUUUGAUAACAAAUGAUUGCAUGAAGGAAACUACGACAAAAGAAUUAUAACUAUACCACAUUUCACUCACAUGGUCUUCAAAGAACUUCUCAGGACUGGAUCCUAUCUCUUCUAAGCGAGGGGGUGGUGCUGUAAGCCUUUGCGGCCAUGGAAGCAGUUCACUGCCUUUUGCCCUAUGAAUUCCUGCUCCAGGGUAUAAAAAAAUAGAAUAUUGUUAGGCCUCACAAACUAUAGCAAGGCAAAGCUGUAAGCCUGUAACCAGCAAAACCUUCUGUUUAAACAAAAUUUCAAGCAGAAAGAAAUGUUAAGCUUCAAAAUAUUUAGGACCUUCCAAUGAAAACUUGGUAAUUUCUAACAACACAAAUGUUCAAGCACUUAGUUCUUUGACACCAUGUGUGAUACCCAAUAGUCUUGCAUCAGAUAAUGUGGGCGAGUGUGAAGGGCUAAUAUGUGACGGAGAUACUAGAAAUAAUAAAUAGGCUCCAGCAUUUUAGGCUAGUGGUUUUGACCCUAUGAGUAAUUACAGCUAAUGGGAUAGGUUGUCACAAUUGGUAUCAGCGCCAGUUCACCAGCCGGAAGUGUGAGAUUAGCCUUUCACAUCGUCUGGUGAUCUUGAGUUACGUCUGUGAUAGGACUGUCAAGUACAUCAAGACCUAAAAUGAGGGGAGUAUUUGACACCCCAACAGUCCCACACAUAGUUACCUAGAAUAGGGUUCGAUGUGGUACAUAGUACUAGGCCAUAAUUUAUCCGGUACCCAAUAUGAAGGGGGUAGGAUUGUGCGGAUUGCUACUUCGAUACCAAUUGGGGUUAGGGUAUUCUACUAAAUUUAAAUUUUAAAGCUCGAAGUUCAAAUAUCCAAAUACUGAAGUCCAAAACAACAAAGCUAACAACACAGACACAAAUAUAUCAGAAUAACAAUCCAAUUCCAACGCAAGUGGAUAAAGAAAAAAAAAACCUAAUUUUUUAUCACUUAUUCAUCUUUCCUUUGCCUUUCCCACUGCUUGCUGCAAAACUUGAAAUACUUGUCUGAUGAAGUCCGAUGCGACAAACUUCUUGCGCCUUUCCAACAACAGAUGACGUCUUUGAAGUCUAACUUCCUUUGACGAAUUUUUUUUUUUAUAAAUAAGCUUACUCAAAACUUCUUUUAUAAAAAUAGUCCUCUAAAUUUUAUUACAAAAAUAGGCCUCAAAUAGGCUAGGUCAGCGCGGAUAUGUAAAAUCUUUAUAUGCGGUGAAUGGUUCACCGCAUUUGUGGGACUCGGGCAAGCCUGGAAAAGUGCGUGAAAAAUUAAGAAUGUAGUAAAUUUGUUACUGCGUUCUCUUAAAGGCGGUGAACAGUUUACCACGUUUAAAGACGGUCAACCGUUCACCGCAUUUAAAGACGGUGAAAGAUUCACCGCCUUAAAAUGCGGUAAACCGUUUACCCCUUUUAUAUGUGGUAAACAAUUCACCGCCUUUAAUUAGAAUACACGAGCCCCGCCCGAACCCUUCUCUCCCCGAACCCUUUCUCUCUGACUCCUCUCCCCGAGCUCCUCUCUGUCCCCCUCACUCCUCUCCCUCACUCCGCCCGAACCCGACGACUCCGACGCCGCCGUCGCUGCAGCCGUCGCCGGCGUCGAAGCCUCUGCUGCUGCUGCCACCGCCAAGGCCGCACGAGCUCCAAGGGGAAAGGGGAUACUAGGUGAGAGCAUUUGAUGGAGGACAGCGUUUUGGGACAAUGACGACAAAUCGGUCGGAGAGUUUAAAUGGAGUGCUUAAAGGUGUACGUGGUUUACCUAUCACGGCAUUUGUGGCCGCUACAUUUUAUAAGGUGACCAAUUAUUUUGUUAAGCAUCGUGAUAAAGGUGAGACAUACUCUACAGUAUUGGUACCAAAACAGGAGGCGCUAAUUAAGAGUUGUAUGAUAAUCGCAAGAAGACAACAUGUGCAUCGCUUCGGAGUAAACGAGUGUCAAAUUACUACCGGAAAUGAACAAUUUGAGGUGGUUCUUGAUGGAAGAAGCUCGACUUGUUCAUGCCAUGAGUUUGAGCUCACUAGGUUGUCAUGCUCACACCUUCUAGCUGUAUGCAGUAAUGGUCAAAUGCACAUUGACUAUUAUAGUCUGUGUUCUGAAUGGUAUACAUGUGAGUAUUACCAUGGUGCUUACUUCCCGCAAUUUCACCCUGUUCCAGACAAAAAAAGCUGGCCACGCCCUCAAGGACCACCGCUGGCACCCCCACCUAUCAGGAGAAAGAAAGGCCGUCCGAGACCAACUCGUAUUCGAAACGCCAUAGACGAGAGAGAAGGAAUGCGAAGAACUAUGUGCACUAUUUGUAAAUAACAAGGACAUUAUAGGACUACAUGUCCAAAUAAUCAAGAUAGAACAAAUGAAGGCCGUAGACGUAGAGCUUUAGGUUGAUGACUUAUGUUUGACUACCUAUAGUAUUUCUUUUUUUAGAUUUAUCUUUUAACGUUCAAAUUAAUAGUCACUAAUUUGUAUACUUUAUUUUGCAGAUGGACGAUCACGAGGAUCCCAGGCCGGUUGAUCCAUCAAUUCUAUCAGACCAGGCUAGGCAUCAUUUGAGAUACGUGCGAUCAGAGGUAUGUUAAGCUAUGCAUAUACAAAGAAGUUUGUAAUUUAAAUACUUAAAUAGAAAAUUUUUAAAAAAGUGAAUAAACUUUAUAGGGGUACGCGCCAGUUCAGUUUACGGAGCAUGGCCGUAAACUGAACACAUGGACAGUCAAGCAUCCGGAAGUGAUAGACCAUACGGCAUGCUAGAUUUUUCUACGUCUCCCGCCUCAGACGAGUACAGCUUGAUCAGGCUCUAUUAGGGGCGUUGAUAGAGUGAUGGAGGCGCGAGACGCAGACAUUCCACCUACGAUACGGAGAGAUGACAGUUACGCUACGUGACGUGGCCGUUACAGCUGGACUACGAGUCUCCGGGAAGCCUAUUACGGGACGUGCUUCAUUUGAUUUGCCGCAUACAUGUAAGCUCCUUAGGAUGAUGUCGUCGACGGCCAGAUCCGCUUGGAGCGGUUGUUUCAACAUUUCCGGCAUGUUACUUUGGAUGCUCCGCCGGCCAUGGUUGCAACAUCUGCACGAGCAUACAUUUUAUUUCAAAUUCGAUGCAGUUUAUUUCCUAACCCCACCGGAUAUCGAGUUCACCUCAAGUGACUACCGCUACUUGAGGAUUUUGACUUUUGCGGAGGCCUAGCUUGGGGCGCAGCUACCUUGGCCCAUCUCUAUCGGGCAUUAGGGAAUGCCUCUAUGAAGGGAAAGGCCGAGUGUUGUGCCUUUGGUACACUACUACAGGUAAAAUCACUAUUUCACUAGUUAUCGCAAUGUUAACUUAGUUUCUUUUACUAAUUUUUUAAUUAACUUUUUUUAUUCUUAGAUCUAGGCAUGGAACCAUAUACACAUUGGACGUUCCGAUCGAGUUGGAGCUCCACCGGAUCUCCAUGAUUGUCCAUUAGGUUGUCGAUAUGCAAUGUAUUUGCAUAUAAUAUAAUAAAAUAAUAAAAUUUGAUAUUGUAUUGAUGUAUUAUAAAAUAAUAAAAUAUAUUAUCACUUCUGCAGGUGGAACACGGGAUUGUGAUUUCGUGGAAAUGUCAGGGUGACUGAACUUGAGUUUUACCGCGAUGAGCUAGAUCAGCAGAGAGUCACAAAUACGUAUAGAUUUCAUGAAUUAAAUACACGCACAUACAUUCUAAAAUUUUACAUUCAUUUUUUUAAUACACUUGUACAGGUUACAUGGAUGCCCUACAUGGAGGAUGUUUUGAACGGUCUUCCUGCAUUUUGUCUCGAGGGCUCUGCAGUCUGGCGUUCGAGAACUUGCUUGAUAUGCUAUCAUAUUAUGGAGCUACAUCUACCUAAUAGAGUCCUGCACCAGUUUGGAUUGCUGCAGCAUACACCGGAGCCCGUUGAAGCUAUAUAGAGGAUCACAUCGCAGGGUAGAUCAGGCGAGGACUGGGCAGCGUUUCAUGCUCCAUAUAUUCAGCGAUGGGCAGAUCGUCAGGAGCAUAUUGCGGAGCAAAGUCCUUUUGUCUAUCCAAAUCCGUUACGAGCAACCUCUGUGUACAUGAAGUGGUAUUGGGGGAUCACGAGGUGGAUUUCUCGUCCUGUACAGCAGCCUCUACUUACUUUUCUGCCGCAUAGGCAUGUCAAGCGAAGAUUGGUAAGAUAAUUUUAUUUUAUAGUUUGUUUUAUUAUAAGGAUAUUCAUUAUAUAUAAUCAUGUAUUUCUUUACAGGUGGAUGCUAUGCGGCAGACUUAUAGCAGCAUUGGUCAUUUGAUGGAUGAUCCUCCGGAGCCAUCUAAAAUGAUUGAUGCUCUAGCACAUGUAGGUAGGACCUCGAGAGUGUGUUAGAGAGCCUUCCGACAUUACCCGUGACAGGGCAUCCGGAUAUUUAUUCUCCGACUUUUGCUGAUUACAGUGAUAUUCCCUCCACCUCCACGCCUGCAUAUGAUUUCGAUGAUAUUCCCUCCACCUCCAUGCCUGCAUAUGAUUUUCCAUCAACAUCCGUCCCGAUUCAUCCAUCUGAUGUCCCUUCGACAUCGGAAGUACAGUUUGAUAUCCCAUUGGCAUCCAUCCCUCUAUUUGAUAUUCCAUCAACGUUAGAGGUAUUCUAUUUUGAUAUUCCAUUCACAUCUAUCCAUCCUUCUGACAUUCCAUCCACAUCGCAGGGUCGUCGCGAUGUUGGAUAUCGACGUAGGCCACGAUGACAGGGUCAUAUUGAGACGCAGGUGGGGAUACUACCAUCGGCUGUUGAGCAAGAGAUGGAGCCGAUUGUCGAGAGCAUCGCCAUCGAGCGUAUUAAUCAGAUGUAUGUCAUUGAGCCCGUGCAGCCUGAGAUAGAACAUGACAUGCAUAUUCGAGGACAGCGUCGAGGAUACGGCCGUGGACGCGGACGUGGACGUGGCAGCGGACGAAGGCGAGAGAAUAGGAGUGGGAUGGAGGGGACUUGAUUUUUUUUUAUCAUUUUUGGGAUUCUCAUGUAUAUUUGAUAUUUCAGAUCUUUUCUACAUUGAUUUUUUAUAGUAUUAUUUAAAUUUAUUCAUAUUGAAGUGUGUUGAUAUUGGUAUAGCUCAUUUUAUAUGCUUAAAGUGUGGUUGAAGUUGGUAUAGAUGAUUUUAUGUAUUUAUUCGUGUAAUUGAAAUGCUUGAAAACAUUAUUAUUUUGUAUAAUGUGGAAAUUUUGCAAACUACUUGCUGCUUGGAGUGGGUAAUGCUAAAUGCGGUGAACCAUUUACCGCAUAUAAAAGCGGUGAAUGUUUCACCGCCUAUAAAAGCGGUGAAUCAGGCGGUGAAACAUUCACCGCGUUCAUAACUAUUAUACCUACGCAGGGAAGGGAAUUACAUAAAGGCGGUGAAUGGUUCACCGCCUUCAUGGGAUUUUUAAAACUUUAUGAAAGCGGUGAACCAUCGUCUUCACUUGAAAGCGCUAAAUGGUUCACCGCUUUUAUCGUCUACCACCAUCUCACUGCUCACGUAGCAGUUUUGAGCCUAUUUUCGUAAAUACAAUUUUCGGAGGUCUAUUUCUAGAAUAAAAAGUUUGGAUGAGAUUAGUUGGCUAAAAUCCCCUCCUUUGACAACUGAUAGCAGCACGUUAUGAUGCUUCAUCUUCUUUUGGAUAGUUGAUUUAGUUCUCAACUUAUUUACCUUCUAAUGAUUUCCACCUCACAUCUGUGAACCUCGCAAUAGAAUCAUCAAUAUAAUUUUCCUCCAGAUCAAAGUCCAGUUUGUUGUAAGGCUCACCCCGGUAACUUUCAGUGAAGAGAGAUAAAAGACGAAGAUUAGAAUGAAUGAAUACUAAUUUAUCUGCUCUUACAGAGAAUAAGUGCUCCAAUUUCGCUUUGCCGAUUAACUUGUCAAUAGAACCUUCAACUUCUGCCAACUCCAGAGUUCUCGAUCCAUAAGUAGCCUACCAAUCUAUUGCAUCCAAUGUCACCACAUUAAUUUGAGCUGCAGCCUUAGAAUAAAUGCCUUUACAUGAAUGGAAAAUAGCAAUUGCUCAUGAAGUAGUUUUGCUUCUCCCUCGUUUUCUGCUAUUUCGCUAAAUGCUUUCAUAAACCCCCAUAAUCACUUCCUUAUCUUCAUCUAGAGCUCUUCUAGUUGUCCCUUCAGGUACUAAUGAUGCCAAGUAUCUCGAAUCACGAAAUCUAGGGGACAAUGCAAAACCAAGGCACUGUGAGGGAAUUGACAUUUUCUCCCACAUUGCAAGUACAUGGUUAUUUUUGUCCAUUACAUCUCUUAUUUCUUCAAGUGUGUUAUUCUCAUAUAUUUUGCCAUCUUUGGGCCAUCAGCAUCAAAAAACUUUAUCAACAAACAAAUUGGUUUUGUAAUAGCCAAUAUAAUCUACCUCAUCCCAAUAUUCUUCACUCCCUAUGGUUUCAGCAUUUAAAGCUCCCAUUUUUCUUGCAUGUUCAUCUCCCUGUUUCACCCAAUCUUUCCGUGUUUUUAGUACGACAUUUGUUGCUAGGGCCUCUCUACAAUCAACCGACCAUUUCAAUAAAAUAUAAUGAGAGGCAAAUCUAGUGUUGGCUACCUUUAAAAGUUCCAAUCUAGAAUCUGAUCAAAAAAUGAUGAGUGCAUGUGCGUGAUUUAAAAAAUACUUUACGAUGCUUUUUCUAGCUCUAUAUGUAUUUUCUAUGAAGCACAAAGACUUCAAAUUUCAUGCUGUACCCAUAUCGAACAAGUAUUGGAUACCGAUACACGCCCGUAACGGGAAUGAAGUAUCCGGCAUUCUUAGAAAAUAGAAAAAAUAUUAGAUACGGCUCGGAUGCGGGAAGGAUACGGGGAGAUACAGCUAGAUUCUUUUUUGGUCUAAAAUGAUCGAAACUUAGAAUUUUUCAAAAUGCCCACAUCCAAACCUAUUAGAAAUAAGGAAAAGAGUGAGAAAAAUGCCUAUCUCUAUUCAAUUUGUCAUUUCUUCUAUCUUUUUGCUUUUGAAUGGUUGAAGGCACUUCCUCUCGUUCCUCCAUACAGUAUUAGUCAUGGUUCGGUCCUUUACCACUUCUCUUUUACUCUCUUUCAUCUAAUUUGUCAACCUAGUAGUAAGCAACAAAGGCUAUAAAAAAUUUUUUUUUUUUUCUUCUAUUGAAUUGUUAGCAUAUUUUCUUUUAUUACUGUUCUAAUAAUAGAACUAGAACUAACAAAACAAAUAUAUAUGUUGAGUGGCUAGUUAUCUAGUUUGUGUGACUAAAUAUCUAUAAUUAUUAUUUGAUCAAGUUGGUUGAUAUUUUCUGUAUUAUUAUUUCAUACGAUUGAUUAUUUUUCUUUAAUGAACAGUUGUAAAAACAAUUAUACAAUUUAAUGUAUAUCAAAAUAUAUUCAUUAAUAUAAUCCAGAUAUCUUGAUUGUUCUCGAUACAUUCAUUAUAUAUACAAUCAACAUAUAUUUAUGUAUAUUUAAACUAACAUUUUACUCAAGUAUACGAGCGUAUCGUAUCCUAGAAGUUUUAGAAAUUAUCGUAUCACCGUAUUCGUGUUAUGUCGUAUCCACAUCCCCUAUCUGUAUCUCCGUAUCCGUAUCUAUGCAACAUAGUGUAUUUCUCAACCACUCAAAUUCUUUUGCGAAAUCUUUAAGAAUAAGAUUUAAAGAAUGAACAACACAAGGGGACCAAAAUACAUGGUUGUGUACCUUUUCUCUCUUUUCUGGUAAGCUUACAAUGUGCAACAUUGUCUAUUAUCACUUGAAGAUUAUGAGGCCCGGCCUCUUCUUUUGAUUUUUUAAUAAAAAUUCUGCAACAGCUAAACCCGUUUUUUCGACUCCAUAAAAACCCUCUGCAUAUAGAAAGUUAGAAACAUAGAUCCAUGACUGUUCACAGUAAGGGCAUUGAUUAGAGAUUGAUUUUUGCAAUUUGUCCACCCAUCAGACACAAUAGAUACUCUUUGCGAAUACCAUGUGUCCUUCAUUGGGAUAAAGUCUUUUUCAAUGCUUCUUUUCCACUUAUCUAAUAAAGUAGUUCCUGUGAUGCAGAAGCAGGUGCAGAUAGGAUUAAUUCGUUUAGAUUUUAAUUUUUUCUAAUUUUCGAAAUUAUUUUCCUUGUUAAUUUGUUUUAGUUGUUUUUAAAGAUUUUUUGCAGAAUUUAUCAUAUGGAAUAAAUCUCUAAAAAUUACCGAUAUAGUUAAGGUUUUUUAGAUAUAUUCAAAUUAGGAAAGAUAACUAAAAUAAUGGAAUUUGAAUUAAAUUAGGAUUAUGCUUUGAAAAUUAUAAAUAUAGCCUAUGCCUUGUAAUUUAGAAAAGUACUACAAUGGAAUAAAAUUUGGGUUUUGUGUUUUGACUGCGGCCAUGGUAUCUCCUUACUUUUCUGUCUUAACCUAUCAUGUGUCCCGGCAAAAUUCUUUUUUCUAAGAAGCUCUAUCUUCUCUUCCUCUUCUUGAUCUUUUCUCUUUUAUCUUUCUUCUAAAUUUGGAUUUUUUCCUAGUAUCGGCUAUUUUCUUCAAAAAAAAAUUACAAAAUUACAAAAUAAAGAAAAUUGUCGGAACCUUCUUGCUAGAGUCAUACUACUUUUUGAUUUUUUUUCUUUUUUUAAAUCCCAAAAAUUGAUUUAAAAAUUCAUUAACUCUUUUAUAUAUUAGAAAAAUCUAAAAAUUAAUCUAAAAUUUUUAAAAAAAAUGAAAAUUUGGGUUUAAAUUGAUUUUGGACUCAUUACUUGCAAGAUAGAUUAGGGUUUUCCUAAUUUGUCCUGCAUCAUCUUGCCUAACGGAAUGAGAGCUUUAUACCCUUUAGGAGCCCUAUUUAUUGUCACAACAGCUUACGAAAUUGACUAUUUACAGUGCAUUGAAUGGUAUUCCAUUAGCACAUAGGCCCUUUAUUACUUUCAAAUGAACCAUAACCCUCUCUGUCAUAUUAAAAGAGUCUUCAAUUUGUUGAGUAGGCGAUGAUUUGUUGUCUUGUUAGUGUGGAAUUCUUCAAUGAUGCCGAAAUUCCUACUUUUUCAGCAUCUUCAGCCUUUUUCCUCACCCUUUCAUAUUUAGCCCUACCGUUCAUCAGAAUUAAACAUCAUGUAGACAUCGAGAAUAUUUUAUUGUAAAUUUCAUAAUAUUGGGAAAGCACUGUACAACUUGAAGUUGUUAAUGGAAUAAAAUCACCACUUUCGUAUCCUAAAUGUGCUGUGGGUCGUGAAAGAGACUUAUGUGCGUGUUCGUGCGCUGAAGUGUCAUCUUGAGGCGAUCAGAGCAAGGGAAUACGACGCAACCCAAGCUAGCUUUCCUUUAAUAAAUAAAUUCAAAUUCAAAUAUCUUGUUAUUUAGAAAUAGACUUAUUUAUGCUAAUAAUGCUACGUUAAGUUAGGCGUGAUUUAAGCAUAUGGGCUCUAUAUAAUUUAAUCCAGGAAACAAAGAAUAAACAAGCAAAAAUUCUCUUUUCUCUUCAUAUCUUAUCUUCUUCUCUCUACUUCUCCUCUCUAUUUCUCUAUUCUCCGAAGACGCGAUCCCUCGAAGUGAUCGAUUCGUUCUUUCGAUACGGUAGAACCGUAUCAUUUGGUAUCAGAGCCUUGACUCAAGCUAAAAAAGAAUUUUGCAAAGGAUGGAUAGGGAGUUUGUACGAAAAGAGGAAAUGAACGCCCAAUUCUCCAAUGUUGAUGCUCGACUGAACAAAUUGGAGACCGAAGUAAGGUUCAUUACCGAUUCUGUUAAUGAUCUCAAAAAUUUAAUUAUCGCUAUGAGCACGAAAAUGGAUGUGCGAUCGCAGGCACCUGUCUGAAGAUACAUCCACUUCAAGUUCCGACAAAAAUCAUCCCCUACUCCCUACCCCUUUCAAAGAAGGGACAUCAAUUCCUUCUACGAAAAACUCUAUGAUGGCGCUAACCCGCAUCACAUGACUCGGGAAGCACCCACAAUUUCAUAGAUCACAAUUUAACAAAGAGAAUGCAAUACCAUAUUGCUGAAGAGAAGCAUUUUGAGGUGAUGGUCGCCAACGAAGAUAGUCGCAAUUGGUGGUAAAUGUUUCAACCUAUUACUCUUGUUACGACAUAUUUAGUAUCUUAUGCUAUGUUAGGAUACUGUAUAUUACAACAUAUUUAUAGAAUUAAAUCGUAUGUAAUCCUAAUUAUAUUGUUAUUAUAGUAGGGAUUGUUACUAUAGUAGACUUAUCUCUUGUACUAUAUAAUUUCAUCAAUAGAACCCAAGAGGGUGUGCUCUUUUGCCCUUCUCUCAUGGUAUCAGAGCCACAAACCCUAAUCCGGGGAUAUUGAUCUAUAACCACCUUCCACCACAAAUCACACCUCUAUAGGUGUUUUUCUUCUUGUUAUUCUUAUUCUUGGUGUGUUGGUGCCGCUCGGCUCAUCUCUGGUGUGUUGCCUUAAUUGGUGCAACUGCCGAUCCCUUCUUGCUGUGUUGGUGCCGCUCGACUCAUCUUUGGUGCCGCUCGACUCAUCUCUGGUGCCGCUCGGUGCAUCCCUGCUGCAGCUGGUUCUCUCUAGUGCCGCUCACUGCAUCGGUGCAUCCCUGCUGCCGCUAGUGUCGCCCGGGUCAUCCUUGGUGUCGCUGGUUUCUUCUUAUCUCGUUGGUGCCGCUUGUCGGUGUCGCCUGGUUGAUCUCAAGUACCGCUCGGUCCUUCUCGAGUUCAACUCUGACUUACUUUUCCUCUUUCCUCUAGAUCUGUGAUUACUCGGUCUAUUUUUCGGAUUUCUCUCUCGUGGUGGAUCUUUUUUUUCCUCUUGGUGGUAACAUGUCUUCCUCUUCAAACCUGCCAGUAGUUAACAUCAAAACUCUCAUAUCACUUAAACUCACGGAUUCCACAUAUUUAGUAUGGAAACAAAUUUUUCUUAAUGUUUUGGAGAGUUUUGGUGUUACUUCGCAUGUGGACGGAACUGGUACUAUACCGUCUCAAACUAUUGAAACAUCUGAUAAGAAAACAAGUGCAAACCAAAAUUAUCAAAAUUGGAAAAAGGAAGACACUUAUACUUUCGUGGAUUAAUGCCACAUUUUCUCUUAGCAUAUUACAGAUGGUCGUUUCUAAUUCUCCUAAAACUGCAUAUGAUACUUGGAAAACUUGAAGCAUAUUUUCUUAAUAAAACUCUUCCACGGCUUUUUCUCUAAAGUUCGAAUCGCAAAGCAUCAAGAAAGGUUCAAUAAACAUAAGCGAUUACAUGCAAAAGAUUAAAUCAAUCGGUGAUGCUCUACAAGCGAUUGGUGAAACUGAGUGAGACCAUAACUUGGUCAUGACAGUUCUUCUCGGGUUACCGGAAGAAUAUAAGGGUUUUGUCAGCGCCCUUAAUACACAUCAACAUAAGCCCACUUUUGAACAACUUCGUCCACAUCUAAUGCAAGAGGAAACUUAAGUUCAACGUCGUACUAGUUGGACGACAUUACCAGCCAAUCCCACUAUCGAUGGUGAAGCUCUUUAUGCAAAUUGUGGACGCAAAAUCCGUGGAGGUCGUGGAGGCAGAUAUCGCGGUGGUCGAGGACAGCGCGAUAGAUUCAACUCAUAUCUUGGUAGUGGAUCUCCUGGAGCCUAUUCGCAUUCUCAACCUAAUAAUUCUCUACAACCCUAUACUGCCACCCAUCAACCUUACAUUUCAAAGUCUGGCACACAAUGUCAGAUCUGCAGCAAGUUUAAUCAUUCGGCUCUUUGGUGCAGACAACGCUUCAAUCAUUCCUUUGUUGUAGAUGAUCCUCAAACCUUUGCUGCUAUAAACAUUCAUGAACCUAGUGAGGAAGUGUGGUAUUCUGACACUGGAGCAUCUAAUCACAUGACCACAACUUCUAGUAUUCUCUUAACCUCUAAACCUUAUAACGAGCAUGAAAAAAUUCUUGUUGGUAAUGAAAAUUUACUUGAUAUUACUCAGACAGGUGAAACUCAGUUGCAUUCCUUCUCUAAAUCCCUUGCUCUUAAAAAUGUUUUUGUUGUUCCUCUAUUAAGAAAAAAUUACUUUCCGUACGCCAGUUUUGUCAUGAUAAUAAUUCCUUUUUGAGUUUGAUUCUUCUAGUUUUUCUGUGAAGGACAAGAAAACCAAGACGAAGCUUCUUCGAUGCCCUAGUUCGGGAACAUCACUCUAUCCAUUCUCUUCUAAAGUUGCGAGUGUCAGAAAUAAGCAACAGCUAUCACUGGUUGCAUCUAGGGUUAAUAGUGAUAUUUGGCAUAGACGAUUAGGUCACCCUAGUUUUUCUGUUCUUUCUACAUUCCUUAAAAAUAAUGAAAUUGUCUCGGAUUCUAUUUUAAAAUUAUCUGUUUGCAAUGCUUGUAAUAUGGGAAAACAUGUCAAACUUUCGUUUAAUGAUUCAGAAUCUCGGUCUGCUUUUCUCUUUCAUAUUGUUCAUUCGGAUGUAUGGCAAUCACCUGUUCCCUCACUCUCUAGCUACAAGUAUUAUGUUAUUUUUAUUGAUGAUUACUUUCGAUUCUCUUGGCUGUAUCUUUUAAAAUCUAAACACGAAGUUUUUGACAAAUUUUUGGAGUUCAAAAGAAUGAUUCAAAACAUAUUCCAUAGCUCGAUAAAAAUUUUUCAGUCCGACAAUGGCACUGAAUUUGUAAAUGAAAAGUUUUCUGCUCUUUGUUCACAAAAUGGCAUUAUUCACAGAUUUUCUUAUCCUUAUACUCCUCAACAAAAUUGUCUUGCUGAGAGAAAGCAUAGGCAUUUAUCUAACAUUGUUAGAAGCCUACUUUUUCAAGCUUGCUUACCUCCUAGGUUCUGGACUGAGGCCAUUCAAACUGCCGUUUUUCUUGUGAAUAGAAUUCCAUCUCUCACUGUUUUAAAAGGAUGAUCGCCAUAUGACAUUCUGCAUGGUUGUGCUUCUUUUGACUUGCAACUUAUUAGAGUUUUUGGAUGUUUAUGUUAUCCCGAUGUACAGGACAUUACAGCUCACAAGCGCGCUCCCGGUCACCUCCUUGUGUCUUCUUGGGACUUUCGAACAAACAUAAAGGAUUUCGCUGUCUAUAUCCAAGCACCGGUAAAGUCUUUAUUUCUCGUCAUGUUACGUUUGUUGAACAUGUUUUUCUUGCUCGUCUUUCUAAAUUUUCUUCCUCCUCGUCCUCUUUUUCCAACUAGCAAAUAUUUCAAAAUUUUCCCUCUAAUCCGCCUUUACUGGGUGAAAGUCCUGCCACUCUUGAUGCGAUUUCUGGCUUCACCUUCACACGUCCUCCUCCUGACUAUGGUUCACACACACCGGUUUCACCGUCUGAGGACUAAUAAUCAAUAUUUCCUUCCAGCUUGCAUUUUGACCCUCCACAAGUUGUUGGUCCUGAGAAUGUUGCCACUGUUGUCGGUCCAUCUGAACUCCGGGCCUAUACCAGACGCCACACCAGUCGGCCUGCUGCUCAUUCUCCAUCCGUUACUGAUGUGCCACCUACCUCCUCUGAUCAUCCACUUUCUCAGCCUGCUACUGUAUCCUCUCCUUCAUCUUCUGUGGCUCCACUCCCUGCCUGAACCCAUUCUAUAUUCACUUGUUCUAUAACCAAGGAUUUCACAGGGUCUACUUCCUUACUCGCUUCUGCCCGUUAUACUCUUUUUACUGAGCCUACCUCUUUUCAUGAGACUUUUCAAGAUGCAGGUUGGCGUGCUGGUAUGGUUGAAGAAUUUGAUGCCAUACUGACUAAUACUACUUGGGAUCUAGUUCCUCCUGCUUCUUCCGUUAAUCUCAUUGGCUGUAAGUGGGUAUAUAAAGUAAAGCAGAAGGAGAAUGGUUCUCUUGAGCGUCUCAAGGCUUAACUUGUUGCUCAGGGUUACAAACAACAACGAGGUAUUGAUUUCGAUGAGACUUUCUCCCGGUUUCAAGGCGAGCACUAUUCGUACUGUUCUCUCCAUGGCUCUUCUCUAGUUGGUCUCUGUAAUAUACCGAAACCCCGGUAGGCUAUAUCGGACUUUAGUCAAAUUGACCAAAGUUUGGUGAGAGAAAUGGUUGGACAAAGUCCAGUUGACACUCCAACAGUGUUGGAGGGGUUAGAGUUAAGUUCCGAAUGCGAUUGAAGGGUUUUAGCAUUGCUCGGCGAGAAAUGGAGCUUGAGCACUGCCCAAACUUCAGUAUGGGCACUGCUUAACCGGUGAAGCACCAGGGCGUACCGGUACCAGGCAGGCCACCCGAGAAGCCAGCUCUCGAGUUUGGCCUCUGUCAAGCUGCUUAACCGGUGACAGUCUGGGUAGUACCAAUACCCCGCAGCAACCCGAGAACAGCAGCUCUCGGGAUUGGGCUAUUGAACAGGGGCGUACCGGUCACGCCCACCCGCGUACCGGUACGCAGUACUGCGAACAGCAGGUUGAGUCUGCUGCAAAUAAAAGAAAAGUGAGGGCUUAAAUGCAAUUGUUGUGGCAUAUAAAAACCCCACAACCUCUCCUCUCUCAUUCACAGCAGUGAGAACACCCUCCUCACUCAUUUUUCUCCCUCUCUCUCUCUAGGAACUCUCUUAGAGGUGGAUCAAGAGGAGAUUUGAAGGUGGAUUUGGUGGAGAAAAAGGCAAAGGAGUGAAGCUAUCUCUUCUUCUUCUUCUUUAGCUCAAGGAAAGGAAAGCUCUUGAGGUAAGCUCCAUGAGCUCUCAUGAUAGAUGUCUAGGGUUUGGUUUAAAUGCCCUAGAAAUGGUUUUAGAUGGAUCUCUAGAUGAUUUUAAGCUUGUUUUUGCUUAUCACCAAGAUCCAUUUGGUGCUUAUGCUAUAGAGCAUUGUUAGGGCACCAAAAUCGAGACUUUUGUCAUAGAUGGGUUUAAAUGUAAAUUGACCUUGUAGAAACCUAAUUGAAGGUAUUUCCAACACGUUGGUGGACUCGGUUCGAAAAUCCGACUAGUCUACACAAAGGGAUUUGAGAAAAAGCCUAUUUUGGCUUCGUUUUACCGCAGGCGAGAGAAUAGGCGGCUAAAAAUCACCAAAAUUGAACCGUAGUACCUUAGCAACCAUACGAGGUGGGUGGUGCUUUCCGAAAUCCUCGAAUUUCCUUUUAUAUCUAAAAUGUUAUUUCUUGAGCAUACAUGUAUAUUGAGCUUCAUGCAUUGUAGGGUGAUUUGAGAGUAUAUUGUUGUAUAUUGUGAGUACAAAUGCAUAUGAGAUGAUUGUAAACUAAUAAGAACUUGUAAAACCCUAUGUAUGCAUGAAUGAUGACAAAAACCUAGUAAAGGCAAAGAAUCUAGUGACAUUGAGAACAAAUGACAUUAUGACAUCAAUAGUAGAGUGGCAUCAAUGAGUUUUGAAUGCUAGUGUUACAAGUGUGGCAUUAAUGAAAACAAUAAAUGCAUAAGAUUGAGUAUAAAGAACAUGUAGUGUGUGUGACACUAAUAAGAGUUAAAGAAUGCAAAAGAUGAGAUAGUUGACAUUAUGACACAACAUGGCAUAACAUCCUUAUAGUUAAGGGUCAAAUGAGCAUUGCAUCCUUAGAGUUAAGGAUUGGAUUGAACUUGGCAUCCUUAUAGUUUAGGAUUGGAUCAUACUCGCCUAUAAAUCUUGGCUCGAGGGUGGUAGCUCCACCUCGAGCGAUGAGCUCCGGAGUAGUCAUCACUGGGAUGGUGUUUUCCCCAGAUAACGGUCCCGUCGGGUUGUAGUAGUCUCCCCAAUAUUAGGGAUUUUGAAUUGGUGAGUUGCUUUGGGCAAAACCUACGGGUUAGCCAAGAGAUUGAGUAAUGGAAAUGUGAUCUUGCAUGCAUCAUGAACAUUCUAUUUGAGCAUUAUUGUUAACUAUAUCUUGUUCAGGCAUAUUAGCUGCAUUUGUAUAGUUUGGUUACUAUCUAUCUGUUUAUUCUUCUAUUAUGCCUGAUUUAGACCUAGUGGAAAAGUCGGCAAGAUCGGCGGUCGAACCCACUGAAAACUUUGUUGUAGUUCUCACCCCACGAUUUUUCACAGAGCCGGGACCGAGUGAGCCGGCCGAUGAUCGCGGUAAAGGUAUCGCGCCAUAAACAGUGACUACCCGAGUCGGGUCCAUAGUUAUUUAGUUGCAUUCCCUAUAUAUCAUCUUUUGUAUUUGAUGAUGUUAGUAUUAUGGAUACGAUAAAUGUUGUAAAGAGAGUUUAUAUUUUGAAAAAUCAUGUGAUGUAAAAGAAAUGAUAGAAAGAAUGUAAAUGUAAAAGUUGAACGCAUGUAUGCGGUUAAAAGUUAAUCAUUAUACUUGUAUGACUGUUUAGUUUAGAAUCUUUCACUUUUGGCUACUGCUUGCCCUCGUGCAAGCCAUGUAUGUAUGUAUGUUUCCGCUUGUGCAAUUUAUAUACUUGAUUUGUACUUGUGUUGAGCCUUAGGCGAACAGGGGAAGUGCUGUCCGUUCGGCGUCUGUUCAACGUGCCCGAACCGACCAAAUGGGCCGGUCCCCGGGCGUGACAGUUUCUUUGACAACUUGAUGUGAAGAAUGCUUUUCUUCAUAGAACUCUCUCCGAAGAAGUUCAUAUGACACAACCACCGGACUUUGUGGACCCCUCUUCCUCACCACGUUUGUCGUCUCCGCAGGCAAUCUAUAGUCUUAAGUAGGCCCCUCGGGCCUGGUUUCAGCUGUUCACUUCAUUUUUUUCCGAAAUUGGUUUUGUCGACAAUACUGCAGAUCCCUCGAUAUUUGUUUCUCAUUCCUCUUCUUUUAUACGUUGCUGAUAUUAUUAUCACCGAUAGCUCCUUUCUUUUGGAGGCCCUCAUUGUCAUCUUACAAUGUGAAUUUGCUAUGACGAAGGAUCUCGAGGCGCUCCAUUAUUUCUUGGGCAUUGAGGUUACUCUGUCUUCUUCUGGUCUUCAUCUAACCCAGCGCAAAUAUGCACAUUAACUAUUUCAGCGCCAUGGCUUUCUUGAUUGCAAGCCUGUUUCUAGUCCUCUCUCCGACAACUCGCCUCUCGUCUCAUGAGGGACGUCUUCUUAACGAUCCCUAUGUCUAUUGUCAGCUUGUUGGUGCUCUCCAGUAUCUCACCUUCACGAGACCGAAUAUUUCGUAUGCUGUCAACUUUGUUGCUCAGUAUUUCCAUACGCCUCGUGAACCACAUAUGCAAGCCGCCAAGUAUAUCUGCGUUAUAUCUGAGGCACACAAUCUUAUGGUCUUCUACUCUCUCGCUAUGUCAAUCCUUCUCUUGUGGCUUUUGCCAAUGCUGAUUGCGCUGGUUGUUUCGAUACACGUUGCUCUACUUCUAGCUAUUGCGUCUUUCUCGAGCCCGAUCUUAUCUCCUGGUCCGCUAAAAAAUAGCCCACCAUUUCUCGCUCCAAUUCUGAAGCGGAGUAUCGUGCUGUGGCGUACACGCUUGCUGAGAAUAACUGUGAUGCCCCAACUUUCCAGAUUCACCAGGCCCAAUCAUAUAGUCCCAGUGUAAGGAAGUGGAAUCUCGAAAUCCGAGAGUCACGCUUCAUUCAGGAUCGACUAUUUGUCGAAUGGAAUGGCCAUGGGAGGGCCAAGGAUGCCUAAAGCACCAAAAGUGCAUUAAGGUUAGAGCCCACGAGAGCAAACAGUGCAAUUCUACACUUGGCAGGAUUUUGCUCUCGGGGACCGGUCCCUGGGGUGAGGGACCAGUUCCCGUACGUGUAACCAGCGAGAAAAAUAAAAAUUUGGCUAAGUCCUGAGAGUUCAGCUCUCGGGGACCGGUCCCUGGAGACCGGUCCCCGUAACUGAGGGUUGCGUGGGAGGCCGAUGCAACCGGUCCCUGGCCAAAGGGAUCGGUUCCCGUAAGCUCCCCAGCCUGGAAGGCUCUCGGGGACCGGUCCCUGGCGUGAGGGACCGGUUCCCGUACGCGUGACCCAGGGAAGGACUCUCGGGGACCGGUCUAUGGUCGGGAUGACCGGUCCCUCUGGGCGAAAAAUGCCCAGUAAGAGGCAGUGCACAGGGACAAAAGGUGAGGGACUUAAGUGGAUAUUGUUACAAUAUGAGGAGCAUGGGACCCCUCCUCUCUCUCAUUCCCUCUCAUUUCCCCCCCUCUCUCUCUCUAGAAAGAAAAGGAGAAGGAGAAGGAAGAAGAAGGAGAAGAAAAGAAGAAGGAAAAGGAAGAAGAAAAAGAAGAAGAUCAAGCUAGAAGAAGCUUUGGACCUCUCCCUCUUCCUCUUUCUCUUUGAAGCUAAAUAAGAGGUAGGCUUCUAACCCUAGUUGUGAAAUUUAGGGUUUUUAGGUUUUAGCUCUUUGGAUGGGAUCAAAUGGAUCCCUAGCACCAUGAAUGGUGGAAUUAGAACUAGAAUCUAGGAUUUUUGAAGUGGGUUUGCAUAGUGCUAACCCUAGGGCACCCAAAUUAGGGCUUUUGGAAAAGUUGAGGAUUGAUCUCAUUUGACCCUCCUAUAACCUAAUUGCUAGGUGUCUAAAUGUAAGGGCGAAGUCGGAUUUUCGAUUCGUCAAGCGGGCGAAAAGAUAUUGGCGAAACAAGGCCAACCAAGCUUCAUUUCGACCUAAGAGGCCGAGAAGUCGUCGUAACGUCCGUUGGAGGGCAUUUCUAGAGCCUCCACAUCCUCAAGAGGUGGGGGGUGUCCAUCCAGAAGCAUUCGGGUUUCCUUUUAUGUCUAAGUUACUUAUGUUGAUCAUAUUGCAUUAUAGAAUUAAUAGAUGUAUAUUUCCUUUUCCUUGCAUGCUUCUUAGUAGUAUAACUUAUAAGUCGAACACAUGGACUAGGGUAGCAUGAGGAUUGGGUCUUGUGACAUGAAAAUCCUGUAAUGGCAUAAAGAGGCGAACUUGGACAUAGCCUAGUAGAGUGGCAUUGAACUAGUAUAGUAGAAACACUAAACAUGAACGAGUGGCAUGUCAACUAGCUAGAAAACUUACUACAAUGAUCGAACGAGUGGCAUCGGGUCUAGAGUAGUAAAUGUGACAUGGUUCUAAGGGUGGUAGAGACCCCGGCAUCUAGGAUGCAUUGUAUAUGGUGCAGCAGAGGCACUCUGACCCUUGUAGAUAGGGUAUCCUCUUAUGAGGAUUGGAUCAUACUCACUAGUCUGUUUUCGCUGUCGGUGGUCGCUCCACCGUGGCACUAGUCUCCGGAGUACUUUACUAAAAGCAGACGUAGUUGUCCCGCAGACGGUCUCGAUGUGCGAGUGCAGCUUCUCCUCACCUAUGAGAAUGAGAGUGAGUCGAGGGUUUAACCUAUGGGUUAGCCAAGUAGAUUGGGUAAUAAACAUGAAUAGCAAGUAGAAUUGCAUCAUUACCUUGAGUAGACAUAGUGUAUGUUGUAGAUUGCAUUGCUAUUCACCCUAUAUACUCUUGACAUCAUAUCAGCAUGAUAGUAGUUAUUGCAUAAGUAAUCUCAUUACUAUUGUUGGAGGCAUGAUAGAGUAGUUGCAGUUUAUUUCUCUAUCUAUCUAUCUAUCUAUUUCUCUAUCUGUGCCUGCUUAGACCUAGUGGAAAAACCAGCGGAGUCGGCGGCCGAACCCACUGGAAACUAUAUUUAUAUAGUCCUCACCCAGUGUGGUUUUGGAAGAUAGGUACACACAGAGGCGAGCCGCGAUCCCUAAGUGAGUAGUUAGUAGCUUUCCUUUUUGCAUAUAGAGUACCCUGGUGUACUAGAAGAUGUAUAUUUUAGAUAGGCAUUGGAAAGCUAUGAUGUAUUUUGGGAAAAUUAUGUAUUUACAUUUUGGAAGAUGAAAAUAUAAUAUAUUCAAAUAAUGUAAAUGUUGAAUGGUUGUGAUAGCUAUAUAUUUCUCUCUUUAUACACUUGUACAUUCACUCGUGGUUCUUGCUCUUAGUUGUAGUGCACUUGUGCGCAUCGUAUUUGAUCAUGUUAUUUAAGCAAUUCCUAGGCGCUUAAUUGUACUUGAUCAGGUUGUUUGGCCUUGGGCGAACAGGGGAGGUCCUGUCCGUUCGGCGUACGUCCGCCGUGCCUGAACCGGACCAAAUUGGUAGGGGUUUCGGGGCGGGGGCGCGACACCCAGAUUCACCAGGCAUUGUGAGAUCCAUCUUACACUUCCGACUGGUUAUCAGGCUCUAAUACCAACUAUGAUACCCAACUUUCCAAGGAGUCACCUAUCCUAGGACUGCUGUAGUCCUAGCACGCUUAACCCUCUUAACCUUUUCGGCCUAGCCACUGCCCAAAAUGCUAUAGCCUGGUUAAGAGGUUUUUAACUCUAUUAUAUCUUAUAUAUAGGACUACCUGGGAUAUUACAUUCUAUAUAACACUCCAAGAGCCCCACAUUGGAUGAUGUAAGAGAGUGUGAUGGGCUUAUAAAUGACGGACACACUAGUAAUAAUAACUGAGCUUAAGCAUUUUGGGCCAGUGGUUUGGAUCCAAUAAGUUAUUAUUGCUAGUGGGAAGCAGGGCUUUACAGUUAGUAUCAGAGCUAAUUACCAGCCAGAAGUGUGAGAUGAGUCUCGGCUGAGCCAGGUUAUACAGCGGGCAGAAUGAGACUUUGGCUGAUGACUGUUGUGGGUGGAGCGCGGCUCCACACAAGGUCAACUAAGGCUAGCGAAACGAGAUACUUAUGAGCGUGUCUGAGCCUGACAAGGACGUCAAGGCUUAAAAAGGUGGGAGAAUGUAAGACACCACCCUAGAUAGUCUAUAUAUAAGAUAUAAUAGGCUAAAAACCUCUUAACCCGGCUAUAGUAUUUUGGGCGGUGGCUAAGACCAAGAGGUUAAGAGGGUUAAGCGUGUUAAGGCUCGAGUAGUCCUAUGAUGAGUGACCUCCGGGAAGUUGGGGCAUCACAAUUUGAGUCGAGAACUUAGCAUAGUUGAUUUAUGUCAUUUAAUGUAAUAAUAGUACAUAAAUAUUGAUCUAUUGCUCCAUAGCUUGGUUUACCUGUGAUUUCUUGACAUAUCCCAUACUUGUCGGCAUAUGUUUAUAUAGUAGGAAAAAAAAUCUCGAAGUUGCAUUUAAUAGAAUCUUUGUGAAUGAUGCAAUUGAGGUACUUUGAUCAUGUGCAUGUGACUAUAGCUUACAAGAGCCAAAUUGAGCUCAACAAGCAUAUUUGCUCAUCGAGGGUCGCGCCCCCACGACUUUUUGCCCCCCUUGGAGGUGUAGCCACACGGUUAUGCUAUUGUUCGAACCGUUUUUUGUUUAGCGUCUAAGUGGGUUCAUGUGCGAUUCUUCGACAUUCCACUUCACACGGCGCAAGCUUGACCAGACUUUGAGUUGGUCAGUGUAAUUGGGUAUCAUCACAAAUGACCAUACCAAGUGAAAAUAGAAAUUGAUGCAUAUAUAAGCUAUGUCGUGCAUAUUGUAGCAUCAUUGAUACUUACAUAGAAAUUUGACACUUAUAUUAACUAAGUUGAACAUAUUAAUAAUGACAUAGUUAUUUUCAUGAAGACUUGAUGUAUAUGACAUUUAGAUAGAUUAUACCCUCGUACACAUUGAACCCUUCAGAGGCAUAAUAAUUGUUUUAUAUUCGAUCACCCGGUGUUUUUGUUAUCAAUGUUAUUUAAUAUCAUCUCCUCUUUACUAUUGUGCCUCGAUAAGUCCUAGCAUGCAGAGCGCCUCUCUCGGCGGUUGUACCUACUAGGAACUAUUUCUAAUAGUUCUUACACCCAUUGUUUUGAAUGUUUUCAUACCCAAAUUUAUAGGGAGAGCUCGAGGACGUGUAAAAGGUAUCUCGAGCUAGAUAGUGCAUUGUUCCUUUUUCCGAUAAAAGGUCCAAGAGGGUAACCCCUUAAUUGAUGCCUAUGAUAUGUACCAUGUGCAAAGAGUAUGUAUGAAAAGUUGAAAUGUAAUGUAUGCAAUGGUAAUAUCUAUGUAUACUUUUGGAAGGAAAGAUAAUGAUGCAGUAUAAUUGUAACGGUUCAAUGUAGUAUAUCAUUUUGGGAUAUGCAAAAUGGUAAUCGACGAGGACUUCAUGUGUUUGUAAUUACUUUACUUUCUUCGAUACUUGUCAACUCAUAUAUCUCCUUUUAUAUUGUGUUGUAUUAAAGUGGAUUGUAUUGGUUGAUCUUUUAUGCUUCGUAUGUACGAGGGUGUCCUUGUACAUACGACUGUCUAUGCACACACCCGAAAAUGCUUCCAUUGUGGCCCGAGGCAUGCGAGCAUCCAAUAUGCAGGUUCAUGUAACGACUGCUAGAACAACUUGCAAAACACAAACACUUCUUACACCUAUCCACCAACCAAUGUAUGACUCCAUUAAUGUUGAUUGUAUCACUUUAAGAUCACUAUGAUUUAUUGAAUUUAUUGAAAUCAUUGAUCUCUCAUCUUUCAAAUAUCAAUAUAAAUGGCCUUUCUCAAAGGUUAUCAUUCACCCUUUCUUCAUCUUCGAAAGGUAUAUUGAUAGAAUGGCUCUACAAAACAAGAGAAAAGAAAUGUUGGCUAAUGAAAAAGGAUUGGAAAAUGAAAGGAUGGAAAGGUGUAGAUCUGAUCCAAUUAGUUACAGCAGACAAUGAACAAGCCUACUCAAUGCUGAUAGACCUAGCAUCAUCUUCAUUUCCAAAUAUCAUGGCUAGUGCGUCUGUAAAAUCAUAAUAUUUUGAUCAUGUCUUAACAGAGGUCUCACCUUUUUAAGAGGAUGAGCUCCAUAUCCUUCUGUUAGUCUAAUUAUUUAUGUAUUUAUGUGAUUAGCGCUAUUGCCAAUUGUACUUAUACAAGAUCUAGUUUAACACAAACCUGUGUUAUAAAGUGUUUUUUGUAAGUGUGUUCACUAUAUAUUCAAGGAAAAACUUCAAAAACCCCCCCUGUGGUUUCGUAGUUUCUCACUUUGCACCCCUGUGGUUUAAAAUGUAUCAAUUUGCCCCCAUGUGGUUUCUUUUUUCUCCUUUUCUUAUCAAUUUCAUUAUUUUUUUUUCUUAAAUCAGUGAUAAAGUGAAUAUUUGAUAAAUCUAGAUGGGUAUCUGAAGUUUUUUGUAUAUAAUUUAAUGAAAUAUUAACAAAAAAGCUACCAAAAAGAUAAAAACGAAACCACGGGGGCAAUUUGAUACAUUUUAAACCACAGGGGGGCAAAGUGAGAAACUACGAAACUACAGGGAGGGUUUUUGAAGUUUUCCCUAUAUUCAAUGGAAACCGUAGAGGGGGCUUUUAUGGCUUUACCCAAUUUUUUAUGGUAUCAAAGCCACAAAGCCUCUAGAGAAAAUCAACAGAGUUGUCUUCCUUCUUUCUUCCUUCCUGUCGCAAUUUUUCUUCCUCUCUAUUAUCGUUCUACCUUAGAGUAUUAGUGCUACAGUACUGCUGCUACAGUAUUUAGCUACAGUGCAGGCGCUAAAGUAUUUGCUACACUAGUAGUGAUCCUGUAGCCGACAAUACUCAUCUAUGUUCGUAAAACCCUUACUAAAAUUUUCUAGUCGUUGGAUCUGUAGUUAUUACUUGCUAGUUUUUCUCGAGGGUAUUUUGUAAGCGUUGUUUUUUUUUCUUUAAUUGCUACUGCCGCAGAGUUAUUCCUUGUUCUCUUCGCCUUUAUUUUUUGACGGCAGCAAAAUUUUUUUCUCUAACUGUGGUGAAUAUCAAGACGCUUAUUCCAAUAGAGCUAUCAGACACUACAUAAUUGGUUUGGAAAUAGGUGUUCCUCAACGUGUUGAAAAACUUCGGAAUAGCCUCACACGUUGAUGGAAUGGGUGGACCACCAUCUUGGAUGGUAGAGGGCAACAAAAUGCUAGCACCCAAUCCUGAUUAUUUACAAUGGAAAAGAGAGGAUAAUACAAUCCUCUCAUGGUCAAUGCAACAUUAUCCCUUUCUAUUCUUCAGCUGGUGAAAUCCAGUUCGCCGAAGUCAGCUCGCGACACAUGGGUCUUCACUGAAAAUUACUUUUUUGACAAGACUGCCUCUACAUCUUUUUCUUUUAAGGCAGAAUUGUGUAGCAUUAAGAAGGGGUCAAUGCCUAUGUCGGAGUACAUGCAAAAGGUCAAAUCUAUUGGAGGUGCACUUUUAGCCAUUGGGGAAGGAGAGUUCGAUCACAAUCUUGUGAUGACAGUUCUGCUAGGUCUCCCAAAAGAGUAUCGUGAUUUUGUGAGUGCCUUGAAUACUCACAAAACCAAACCGACUUUUGAUUAGCUUCGUCCUCUUCUAUUGUACGAGGAAAUAGAAGUGCAACGUCAUCGAGCCAUGUUACAUCCUCUUCCGGAGAUUUUAGUGCCCUAUACGCAAACCAUGGACAAGUCUCCAGGGGAGGCCAGAAUGUUUGAUCUAGAGGAGGACGAGGACAACGAGGUGGUCAUCAUCCACAUGCCUCGCACUAGGAUCCAGUGUCAAAUCUAUAAGGAAGUGAAUUCUCGAAAUACGAGAGUUGGACUUCGCUCAGAAUCGACUAAUUGUCGAGUGGGUAUGCUUCGGAAAAGCCGAAAUCGAAAACCCAAAAAGUGCAUUACAAUGGAUCCACGAGAGCAAAUUGUGCAAAAAUCUGCACUUGGCAGAAAUUGCUCUCGGGGACCGGUCCCUGGCGGGAGGGACCGGUCCCUGGCGGGAGGGACCGGUCCCCGUAAGCAGUGUGUGCGGCAGGAAGUCCCUGUGCGCAAUGUUUGCUCUCGGGUCCCGGUCCCUUGGGAGGGGACCGGACCUUCAUCCCUGAAGGUCCGGUCCCUCAGGCGAGGACCGCUCCCCGUACGCGCAAAAAUUGGGCAGAGCCCUCUGCCCGCAGGAGUUGCUCUCGGGGACCGAUCCCUCCGUAGGGAGACCGGUCCCCGCACCCGAAAAAUGCCCAGUCUGGGGCAGUGUGUAACUUGGAAAGUGGGGGGUGUUUUGUGCAAAUGUGCACUUGUGAAGAGGUAUAGGAGGGGAUGAGCUCUCUCUCCCUCAUUUCUCUCCCAAAGAACACUCUCCCUCUCUCUCUCUAAACUCUGUUUCUCUCUCUCUAGAAGGUGAAGAAGGAGGAGGAUUUGGUGGAGAUCAAGGCCAAGGGAAGGAUUAGCAUCAUCUUCUUCUUCCUCUCCACCAUUAGAGCUUGCUUUAGAGGUAAGCUCAUGAGAGCUUUCAUGGUAGAUCCCUCUGGAUGGAUUCUUAUCUUCUAGAAUUGGUUUUGUUGGAACCCUAGCUUGCCAAAUAGAAGGUUUAUGCUUGAAUCUAGGGAUUUGAGAUGGGAUUUUCGCAAGUUGCAAACCUAGGGCUCCAAAUUGGAGUUUUUGGAAAUAAAGGGUUUUGAUCUAAAUUGAUCGUGUGUUAACCUAAUUACUAGGUAUCUAAACGCGUUGGAAAGGUCGGUUCGUCGACUCGUCGAGCCGGUGCGAAGAUAUCGCCGAAACGAGUGAUCGUGGCUUCGCGUUGACUCGAAGAGUCGAAGCGGCGACUAAGGAUCAUGAAAUCAAGUUCCUAACCUCGCUACAUCGCCUAAAGGUGGGGGGUGUCAUCCCGAAGCAACUGGGCUCCUCCCUAUGUCUAAGUACUUAUAUGUUGAUCAUAUUCCAUAUGUAUAUAUCAUGCAUACUAGGGUGAUUAGAUGUUGUAGGUACUAUUCUUGCAUGCUCCUUAUAGUGUGGCAUAGUAGGCUUGACACGUGAACAUAGGGUGCAUGAGAAUGAGAUAUUGUGACAUAGAAUCCUAUAGAGAUAAGUUAAAUGAAAACUUGAUCUUGCAUCGAUGAUAUGUGACUAGUAUAGUCAAGACAUUGCAUUAUGACGAGUGGCAUGUGAACCAAGUAAACAACUUGACGAGUGGCAUUAGAACUUAGUGUUAAAAGAACACUAGUGACAUGAUGACUUAGGGGAUAGACGAGUCUCCCUACUUGACACCUUGCAUGAGAUCGGUGGCAUAGUGAUGACCCUAGUGACAGGGUAUCCUCUGUGACGAAGAUUGGAUCAUACUCACAUAGUCUGUUCAGCGCUUGUGGCGGUGGCUCCACACAAGUAGUGCGGUCCGGAGUUUGGCACGUGAGAGAUUGGGAUAGCCUAUUUGGGGUCCCAAGGGAUAGCCUAAUUGGGGUCCCGCAGACGAUUCCUCGGGUGGUUCGAGUCCUCCAUCAUAGACGGAUUUGAGAUGUGAGUCGUGGGCGCGCCUAUGGCCCAGCCAGAGGAUUGGGCAAUAAACUCAUGAGAAUUAUGUGCAUUGAGCAUAUUGAGCUUAGUAGAGUUGCAUCCAUACUUAAUGUUGGUACUAUAGCAUGUUAGUAAUUGCGUGGCUAUCUUGUUCAUUCCUGAAUUCCGAGGCAUAGUAGUAUAGUGCAAUUCUUUCAAUAUGCAUCAAUUUUAGUUCAGAUAUCUAUCUAUCUAUCUGCUUAUGCCUGCUUAGACCUAGUGGGGAGAUCGGCGGAGUCGGCGGCCGAAUUCACUGGGAACUAUGAACAAUAGUUCUCACCCCACUUUGUUGCAGGGCCGAGUUCAAAUACACCCGGCGAGGAUCGCGGUAAGGGCAUCGCGCCCUAGUUUAGCUAAAAGCUUCCAUUGCACUAAUGUACUCUCGAGGACCCCGUUGACAUAUGAUGUAGAUGUACCUUGGAAGUUGCUUAUGUAUUUUGGUAUAAACAUUGUAUAUAUUCAUUUUGGAAGUUACAAAUGUAAACUGAUGUAAAUGAAUGGUUGAAUGGAUGUAAUAGCUAGAUGUACCUCUCUUUAUUCACUUGUAUUGUAUACUUGUAUCUUGCUCUUACUUGUUAGCACUAGUGGUGCUCCGUGCUUAUCAUGUAUGUAAUUGAAUUAUUCCUGGGCGAUUCUAUGUACAUGAUCUCGUGGUUGAGCCUUGGGCGGACAGGGGAGGUGCUGUCCGUCCGGCGUCUGUUCGACGUGCCCGAACCGGACCAAAUUGGUAGCAAUCACAGGGCGUGACAAAAUCUGUGGUAAAUUCAAGCACACUACUCUUAAGUGUAAGCAGAGAUUCAACUAUAACUUUAUUGCGGAUGACAUACCCGCAAACUUUUGCUGCUGUGAGUAGGGAUGUCAAUGGGUAUGGAUACCCGAAAUUUUAUCCGAACGCGAACCCGAAUGAAACGGAUAUAUCCGAUGGAUAUGGAUAUGGAUUCGGAUAUGGAUUUUGAUUGUACCCGACCCGAACCCGAACCCGAAUUUAUUUUGUAUUAUAUAUAAUAUAUAUAUAAAAAUUUGAUGUUAUAUUUGAAUUUGUAUUUUAAAAAUUUAGAUUUAAUAUAAUAUAUUUUGAAAUAUUGAAAAAAGGAAUAAUUGUUUCGGGUUCAAAUUUUCGGGUUCAGGUUCGGGUUCGGGUUUCGGAUUUUUGGUCGGGUUCGGGUUUGGAUAUGGAUUUUUAAAAUCCGUCGGGUUCGGGUUCGGGUUCGGGUCUCGGGUUCGGAGUCGGGUUCGGGUUCGGGUUUUUAAAAAUCCGCCCCGAAUCCGACCCGUUGACAUCUCUAGCUGUGAGCCUUCAAGAGCCUUCGAAGGAAGUAUAGUACCCUGACACUAGAGCGUCCAAUCACAUGACAUCGAAUGCAGGUAUACUUUCUGAUUCUAGCCUUAGGAACAGAUAAAGUCAUUUGCUCCCUAUUACUCAUGCAUAUGAAUCUACUUUGAAUACUUCAUCCAAACCCUUUCGUCUUAAAAACUUUCUUGUUGUUCCUCAGAUUCAGAAAAACUUGCUCUCUGUUCGAAAAUUUCAUACUAAUAAAAAUUUGAUUCUGCUAGUUUUUAUGUGAAGGACAAGAAACAGGGACUAAGCUCAUCGAUGUCAUAGUUCAGGAACUUCACUUUAUCCGUUAUUGUCGACAGUUGCAAGUAUUAAAAUAAAGAUAGGUGCUUUGGUUGCCUCAAAAGUUAAUAAUGGUAACUUAUGGCAUAGAUAAUUAAGGCAUCUGAGUUUGAAUGUUUUAUUCAAAUUUGUUAAAGAUAAUAAUUUUUAGGAGAGUUUGAAGUUAAGAUUUCAAAUUGCAAUUCUUGUAAUAUCAGUAAACUUGUUAAACUUCCAUUUAAUAAAUGAGAAUCUCAGUCUAUUUCUCCAUUUCAUUUAAUUCAUUCUAAUGUUUGACAAUCACCUAUUUCUUCUAUCUCUAGUCAUAAAUAUUACAUUGUUUUUGUGGAAAAUUUUACUCGCUACUCAUAGAUAUAUCUUUAGAAACAUUAACACGAGUUUUUGAUAAAUUUGUUGAAUUUAAGGCUAUGAUUGAAAAUAUUUUUGAUAAGUAAAUUAAGUUUUUCCAAUCUGUGGAGGAAAAGAAUGUUAAUGAGAAAUUUUCGUUUCGUUUUCAUCAAACUAGUGUUAUUCAUCGUAUUUCUUGCCCUCACACACCACAACAAAAUGGUGUAGUUGGGCACAAACAUAGACAUUUGAUAAAUGUAGAGAAAACCAUUCUUUUUUAUUCUUGUAUGUCUCCUCGUUUUUUAGCAGAUGCCCUAAUGCAAGCUAUUUUUCUUACUAAUCGCUUGCCCUCUCUUACUAUUCUAAAAAGGAAGUCACCAUAUCAACUUUUAUACGGUCUUAAUCCUACAGACUUGCAACUUGUUAGAGUUUCCGGAUACUCGUGUUACCUUGACUUACAGGACAUUACGAGAUAAAACUCUCCCCUCGUUCCCUACCUUGUGUCUACCUUGGCAUUUUAGAUAAACACAAGAACUUCAGAUGUUUUUAACCACAGAUUGGUAAAGUUUUUAUCUCUCGUCAUGUUAUUUUUAUUUAGUGUUUUCCUUUUUCUUGCCUGACUAAAUUCUCUCAAACUGACAGCUCUAACUUUCAAAUGUUUCAAGAUUUUUUUUUUUUAACCCUCCUUUGUUAGGAAGUGAUCCUUUUAACUCUUCAGGCUAUUGCAAUUUUUAAUUUUCUUCCCUCUAAGGAUUCUUCUACUGUUCCUUCUUCCUCCGCUUCUAAUUCACAUGUUUCUAAAGCUGCAAAGAUCACUAAUACCAACGAUAAUUUUAUUGCUCAUUGACUGGAACUAAAAGUUUAUCCACCACCAUCGGUCAGAAUUAGCUCUAAGUAUCUAUUAGGAAAUCCACUUUCAAACAUUCUAAUAUUGAACCAUUACCUUUCUCACCACCACUCGUCCCACAAUUACCACAAGCCGACCCUGUAUCCUCUACAUCCACUUUACCUUUGCUACCGACACUUCAACACCAACCAACAGCAACAACCCCCCGCCCCCACACCUAUACCCUUUAGAACCCAUGGUAUGCUCACAUGGUCCAUGACUAAGCAACGGGAUACUUCCAUCCCUCUCUUGAUUUCCUCACAAUCUACUUUUCUAGUUGAACCUAAUAAUUUGUCUGAAGCGUUUCAGGAUACAGGAUGGCGUCAGGCAAUACAGGAAGAAUUUCAGACUCCUCUCUAAUUCUACCUAGGAUCUAGUUCCACCACCAACCUCUGUUAAUCUUAUUGGGUGUAAGUGGGUAUAAAAAGUAAAGUAAAAAGCAGAUGGUUUCUUGGAGCAUUUGAAAGCACGUCUUGUUGCGCAAGGCUUCAAGCAGCAACAAGGGAUUCAUUUUGACGAGACUUUUUCUCUUGUUGUGAAGCCCACAACUAUUCGAAGAGUUAUUGCUGUUGCUUUAUCUUCUGAAUGGACUCUUUGCUAACUUGAUAUGCAGAAUGCAUUUUUUCAUGAUGUUCUAAACGAAGUUUAUAUGAAACAACCUCCUAGGUUUAUUCAUCCUUCGUUUUCUAAUCAUGUUUCCAGACUUCGCGAGGCUAUUAUGGACUCAAACAGGUACCCCGAGCUUGGUUUCAAAUACUAGGAAUUCAGCUGAUCCUUCUAUGUUUACCUUUCACAAUGAGGAAUUCUCGUUCUCCUAUCCUAUGUUGAUGAUAUCAUUAUCCCAGACGACUUGUCCUCUAUACUAAACUCCAUAAUGUUCACUCUAGAGAGAAUUUGCUAUGAAAGACUUGGGACCUCUUUAUUUAUUUUUUCGGGAGUGGAAGUAACUAUUUCAACUCAUGGUCUUCGGCUAACUCCACAGAAAUAUGCUUAACAGCUACUUAAGCGGCAUCGUAUAUUCGUAUGCUUUCCAGCAAGUCUGUUGCUACUUCGCUAUCAUCCACGACUUAGUUGUCUUCUCAUAAGGGUCGCCUACCUGAGGAUCCCUAUAUCUGCCACCAAAUCGUUCGGGCGCUCCAAUACCUUAACUUCACUAAACUAGAUAUCUCAUAUACUAUGAAUCUGGUUGCUCAGUUUCUACAAACACCUCAGAAUCCUCACUUUCAGAUUAUUAAGUGCAUUCUAAAUUAUUUUAGAGGGACAAUGAGUUAUGGCCUUUAUUUUUCGCAUUGUACUCCUCCCUUUCUCGUCGCUUACUCUGAUGCUGAUUAGACUAGCUAUCCUGACACUCGAUGUUCGACUUCUGAUUUAUAUUUCUUGGUUCCAAUCUUAUUUCAUGGUCUAUCAAGAAAUCUCUCACUCUAGCUCUUAAGCUGAGUAUCGUGGUGUUGCAUUUACUCUUGCCGAGAGCGUUUGGAUCUACUUCAGGAUCUUGAUGUGUCACUAUGUCAUCCUCUCACUAUCUAUUGCAGCAAUCUCAGUACAACAUACGUUGCAGCCAAUCAAGUAUUACACACAGAGAAAGCAUAUCGAAUUAGACUCAUUUUCUACGCGAGGAAGUACAACUAAGUGAUUUCUCUUUACUUCACAUUCCUUCCGACAAAUAGUUAGCUGAUAUCUUCACAAAACCUUUGCCUGCUGCUCAUUUUACUGCGCUUCGUAUUAAUCUUCACAUCCAGCCUCAGGAUGCUCGGAUUGCGGGAGCACAAUAGAGAUUAAUUAUUUCUGUAUUUAUGUAAUUAGCACUAUUGCUAGUUGUACUUUACUUAUACAGCGCCUAGUUUAACACAACAUGUACUAUAAGGUGUUUUUUGUAAUUGUGUUCACUACAUAUUUAAUGGAAACCCUAGAGAGGACCUUUACGGCUUUAACGAUCUUUCAUCUUGGGCAUCUAUACUCUGCUUUGACCUAAUAUACACUAAUCUACUUGCAAAUUUAAAAAUUGUUAAUUUUGCUAAUCAACUUCAUCUAAUAGUACCCUAAUCCUAAUGCAACCAUUUAUAUGAUUAAGUUGAAAUAAGAUCCAAAUCUAGCUAGUAAAGCUUCGUUGUCAUCAACCAAAUGGCCAAGUCACAAACAAAUGACCCCUUCUGUUAUUCUCUUUGUAAGGUAAGAACCAAAUGCAAGCCAAGUAACUAUAAUCUAAACAGGUAAUAAUUCCUCUGCUGGGCUAGACCACAGUGAUUUGUGGGUGAAUGUGUAAAGCCCACAGAGCAAAAAUAACCUAUUACGAGUUUAUAGUCAAAAUGGUCAUCAAUACAUUGGAAGAAGCUGCGAUGAUUUAUGCAAAACAAUCAGUUGAUAUUAAGAUAGGUACAUAUGCAAAAAAAAAAAAAAAAAAAAAAAAAAAAAAAAAAAAAAAAAAAAAAAAAAAAAAAAAAAAAAAAAAACAUUCCUAUCUUGUAAUCAGAUAAUGUACAUCAAAUAGAUCAACUCGACAACAUGCAGUAUUUACGUUAUAAUGGGUUGGAAAAAGCCAUUUACGCUAAUUGAGCCAUAAGAGUCAGAUUAGUAAUUGCUAGUUUUGAUAAUGCGCAGGCUUUAUAAGGGUUCAAGAAAGGCCAUUUACCAAUCACUAACUGAUCAAUCAAGAACAUUACAGAGGUGCAUCUCAUUAUCUCUUCCCUUCACCAUCCAAUUUUUCUUGCCCGUUUCUUUUUUCACCUCUCCAACCAGACCAAGUCUUUUUGACCAAUUUAGCAAAAAAACUAAUGCAUUUCGUACAGAAAUGCUCUAGCAGAUUAUAGGUUACCUGCUCCUUAUUAUUUUCCUUUUGGCAUGCACGAUUAUCAUUGAGAUUUCGUGUUUAUGCAUCACCUAACCAAGAACUUACUGAAUUCUAUUGUAAAAAGAAACAGUUUGAUUAUAAUGAAAAUUAUGACAUCUAAAAUAAAGCCCUUUAGGCAAUCAAUCAAGGUAACUUACUCUUUGAGUAAGGAGUUAUGCACGCCUUCAUGGAUACAUUCCAAACUUCAUCAGGAUCAUCAUCAGGGUCGCACAUGGGAGGAAGGACUCCAAUAUCCCUUCUCAAGUAGCAACCAUUUGUCAAAGGUUUAACCCAUAUAACUGUCUGGUUCUUCUUAGAAGCUAUCCUCCAGCACAUCCUCCGAACAAGAUCACUCAUCGCACUCCAUAUCCUUCUAUUCUUUGCAUCAGGAGCAUAAGCCUCUGGAGAAGAGUACACAAAGUAUCCCCCAGGCCUCAACACCCUAUCCAACUCCAUCAGCAGAAUCCCAUCCCUUUGAAGCCAGUCAAUCCUACAACGAGAGCAGUGGACUAACUCAAAUGAUCUGCUUGGAUACAGCAGCCUUCUUGUCCCCAAUACACCCAGAGUUGAAGGAAUUCCUCUCUCAAGUGCAAACUGUAUCUGGUUCUCAUGAACGUCGUUAGGCGCCAGAGACAUUGCAAUGAUGUUAAGAGGAAGAAGGUAUGCCCCAAAGCUCGCGACUCCGCAGCCAACAUCAAAAACAGUCCGAAUUUUUCCACCAUUAUUCAGCUUGUCAUUCGAAAACUUGAGCAUCUGAUCUCAAAAAAGAUUGGAAAUAAGGGAAUGAUGAAUAAUCUUUCCAAAACAAAAACAGAGUGAAAAUGGAAGAAACGUCGGAUGGCAUAAUUGAACCUAUUAUAGACCUGCGCGAUGUGAAUGAUAUACUUGUCAGCUCCCGUGUGAAAGUGCGUUCCGCCGCCGGGGAAAUUGAUCUUAUCUCCAUUAACAACCAUCCAUCUCUGGUCCGACUUCUCCGCCGCGAGAUGGGUAUGCGGAAUAUUAGCUUUCCACACCUCAUCCCGACUUGCAGGCCACCUUAUCGGAAUCUUCAACGUGCAAAAUUAAGACAGGUUAGGCCCUAACAGCAGCACAAGAACGACAUAGCAAACAAAGACGUUCGAGAAAUACUCACGCGGUACCCAAUGGGAGGAGGGAUGAGGCAAUUGUGGCGCCGAGGUUGCACCGGGCAGUGGCGCUCGUAAUGCUCCAUGAGCGACAGGUUGAGCUUCAGCUUGAGCUGGUAGAGAAGGUUCCGAUCCAAGCAAGGAAUCAGCUCCGACAAUCUCAUAUCACACACCUAAAAUAUUUCCAAUAAUAAUCAGAAGAGAUGGUAGAAGAAUUGGAACAUCAUCAAAUCCAUCCAAGCAGAGGUCGGAAGAAGAAGCAGCAGCCGAGAUAUAGGGAGUACAGGAAAGGACUUGACGACGUGGUUAGGAGGGAGAGUGGAGAAGGCGGGGGUGGUGGAUUCGCUGUCACCGAUGAAGCUGUGGAAGACGGGGUCGGCCCCGUCGUAGCUGGCAGAGUCGCGGCGGCGGCGGCGGCGGAGGCGGAGGGCAGGGCCGAAGGAGGUGCCGUAGUAGAAGCAGAGAAGGCCGAGGGCGACGACGGCGGCAAUGAGGAGGGAGGAGAAGAGCUUCCGACGAGGAACGACACCGCGCUCUCCUCUCCGCUGCUGCUGCUGCUGCUGCUGGCUCUGCAGCGAGCCCUUCAUUGGACCCUUUUUCGAUCUUCCUCCUGCGCUCUUGUGCUUAAAUAAAUUAGCCUUUUUCUUUCUUUUACUCUAAAUUCGAUCGGAACGAAGGGUUUGAGGAGGGAUGAUGAGAAGAGGGCGGGGAACGAGAGUAAAACGGUGGCCAGUGAAAGAGAGAUGGAUGGAGUAAUUAGGAGAGAGAAGGCGUUAUGUUGGUGCGGUGGGGUGCUCUGCCGCCUGUCGUUGUUGGAACUCGGAACUCGGCGAGUGCGCGGAAUAAGCGUUGAGCGAGAGAGCGAGCAGUGUAAGCGUGGCUAAAGAUGGAAUGAACGAAUGAAUGUUUUAUGUAAUUUUUAAUUCGACCACUGUCUGACUGCGGACAAAACUUACGAGGGCGCCCGCUCACGCAUUAGGGAUUUCCGAUUUAGUGCCACAAAAUAUACAUUAAUUUUUUAUAUUAUUUUUUAGGCAUUAAAUUUUAAUUAUGAACUUCUCUAUAGAUUUUAAUUUGUUUUAAAUUCGUCGUAGAAGAAACAAUCGACGUGUUAAUUUUUUAUGUGCAAAAUAAUAUGCUUUUUUUUUUUAUCGAAUAAUGCUAAUCCUACAAUCCCAACGGAUUUAAGGGUCGUUAUUUUUUCUCUUAUAGUCUAAGCCACUUUUUAUUUUUAAAACUAAAGAACUAACAGCCUGUUUGGUAAUUACCAGAAUUAUACUCUGAAAUAUUUUACUUUAUUUUUUUAUAUUUGGAUA